rnacentral:lncRNA from 1 species
AUAUAUUUGCAUAUAUAUAUAUAUAUAUAUAUAUAUAUAUAUAUAUAUUAUAAUAUAAUUCGAGACAAAACCACUAUUUUAAAACCAAACAAGGAAAGACUUAAUCAAUACAUAAAAUUUUAAUAUAAAUUAAAUAAACCGCCACUACAAAUGUUUCAUGUCUGCUACCAACAAUCUUCAGGUGGAUUUUCGAUCUUCUAAUCAGUAUCAAAAUUUGAAGAUUGUCGGUAGCAGACAUGAAACAUUUGUAGUGGUUUAUUUAAUUUAUAUUAAAAUUUUAUGUAUUGAUUAAGUCUUUCCUUGUUUGGUUUUAAAAUAGUGGUUUUGUCUCGAAUUAUAAUAUAUAAUAUUUUACUAUAAAAUUGGAUUUAACCCUAAAUCUGAUUUUUCCCUGUAAUUUUGGAUUCAUUCCUAAUAUUUAUUAUUAUAUAUAUAUAUAUAUAUAUAUAUAUAUAUAUAUAUAUAUAUAUAUAUAUGUAUAUAAAUAUAUAUGUAUAUGUGUGUGUAUGUAUAAGUAUAUAUGCAUAUAUAUAUAAAUAUGUGUGUGUUCAUUAUGUAUAUAUGUAUAUAUAUGUAUGUGUAUAUCGUUUAGCAUCCGUUUUCCAUGCUAAAACAAAUUAAAAAGGGUGGCUUAUUAGUAAUUAGAACCUGAAGGCAAACUGAACAGAGGUCACAAAAUUGACAGAAGGUACUGUCUAACACCACUUUUGCUAAAGAUAAGAGUAUGUGUAUGUGUAUAUAUGUGUGUGCAUGUAUAUAUAUAUAUAUAUAUAUAUAAUGUAUGUAUUAUGUAUAUAUGCAUAUGUGCCUGUAUCAUUCAUUCUCAUUCAUUUAUUUUACAUUCUUUUCUCCAUGCUUGCGCAUGUUAACAAAUAUGUUAUUGCUUUACAACUGGAUGCACCCCUGUCACUGUGUUUAUGUGAGUGAUCUCUUGUACCACUUUUGCCUUUCGAGGCACAAAGCAAGGGAUUCAUUUGUAGACACAAGAACUUAUAGGACCUAAAAUUUUAGGUUGUGCAAUCUCUGGCAAAGCACCUGUCUGAUGUCCAGUCAAGUAAGAGGGGUGCCACAGCAAGUAUGAAAGCUUAGAUACAUAUAUUUUUAUACACAUACACUUUAUAUGUACACACACACACACACACACACACACACACAUAAGUGUAUUUAAACUGUUGGCUUCUUUAUUACUUGUGAACAUCAUGCUACUAAUAAAAAGAAAAAAAUUAUCCACCUGCCAAUCACGAUAGCAUGAAACUUGAGUUGUGAGGAAAAAAUUCAGUUUGAAUAAGCAAUAUAUUUUACAUAAUAUAUCGAGUCCUCUGUUGCUGUUUUGUUGACAAACUUUAAUUGUUAAGUGUGUAUGUAUGUGUGUGUGUGUGUGUGUGUGUGUGUGUGUGUGUGUGUGUGUGUGAAACAGAAAAGGAGCUAGAAAAUCAGUGAAAGAGAAAAAGAUUCAUUUUGAAGAAGUUGAAACUUGUAUGCGUUACUGGCAGAGAAAGAAAAGGGAUGACUAAGAAGGAAGAGAGAAGAGAAAGAGGAUUGCUUCCUUUUUAUUUUCCUCUGAAAAUAAUUUAUGAAAUGCCUCACCCUCUGCCCAUCUGCUGACAUUAGUUCUCUGUAACUUAAUGCCAUUAAGUGUUCCCUGAUGAUCCAUUCUGGUUAAGCACCCAAAUGCACUUGGAACAUCCAGGGCAAAGUUCCAAGCAACUAUAAUGGUGAAAUGUAUGUAGGGACUAAUAAUAUAAACUCACCAUGUAGAAAGCACUCUGUCCAUUCUGCUGGGAGGUUGGUGUUAGGAAGGGCAUCCCAUCAUAGAAACCCUUGUCAAAACAGACAGCAAAGCAUGGUACAGUUUUCUGCCCAGUCAGCUCCUGUCAUACAAUCCAACCCAAGCCAGCACGGAAAGCAGGCAUUAAAUGAUGACAAUGAUGAUGUUGAUGAUGAUGAUUUAUAUAUAGAAAGAGAAAUAUACUUUUUAUUAAAGCAGCAAAAAGUAUAUUACUCUACCUUCGUUAUUUGAGUACUAUUUUUUCCACCUUGUUUUGCACUUAUGUACUCACCUGUGUGUAUAUAUAUAUAUAUAUAUACAUACAUAUAGUCAUAGGGAGAAGGAGGGAAGGAGAAAAAGUGAGUGUGAGAAAACAAAUGUUAAAGACUUGUUAGAUGGUAGCAUCACUGACUUGAUACUGAUGCUGUUGUCUAACUGCGUCCUACUUUACUAACUUACUUAAGGCUGUACAAGCUUUUUGAAUUUGUGGAUUAAAUCUCAGCCUUAGAGAUCCAUUAGUUGACAAUGUGAUCUCAAGCUACAAAGCUGUAUCGCCAACUGCUUAUCUGGCGUUAAUGUAGAGCUCACCUGGUGCAGGUGUUAACAUUACUUUUGUUGUUUGUUUUGUUUUGUUUUUUUAAUUCAUUACAUCACAUGCAACACAUGCGGCUGGCAUCCUAUGAUGUAUGAGUUUCCAUUUUAAAAAAUCUCUGAUCCACAUUUUCCAUAUUAGCUGCAGACUCCAUGAUUUAGAUACUCUAAAGCAGCAUUUCUCAGCCAGGGUUCUCUGGAACCCUAGACAGAGUGAGAUAAGCUAAUGCUAAUUUCGUGAUCGUAAUAUUACUAUAGAUGCCCAACAUAUCAUUGGUUAUUGUAAUAUUGUAAUCUAGACAUCAUCCUAUCUAACCUAUUAUGUUAUCAAAAAUACAUAACUACUGGGGAUAUAUUUAGUGAUGUCUGAAUUUCAUGCACACCUUAUAUAUAUAUAUUAUAUAAUUAAGGAUAAGAUCAUUAAUUUAAAUAUCAAUCGUAUCAAGUGGCCAGCAUGGGAAUAAAAACCUUCAAUGGUAAUAAUUAUUAUUAAAAUUAUAAUUUAGGGUAUCUGAGAGAUACCACCACACUGGAAAUAGAAUAAAUGUCCUUGUCUUAACUUGUACUAAUUAUCAAAUAAACAAAUAAUUAUAUGAAAAAUAUAUUUAAAAAAUACGUGUAUUAACUAUAAAUAAUUGAAAAGCAUUUAAUGUAUGGAUGAUAACUUUUCCUUUCACAUCUGCAAAAUAUUGUUUGUGCUGUGCAUAACAAAGCAGAAAUCCAAACUUGAACUGUGGUGACAUAAGCAACGAAUGUCAUUCCACAUAUAUACAAAACUCAAUCAUUCCUCUGAAGAUGCUGGUUUUAUUUACAUAAACCUAUAUGUGAGGAUAGAGACUUGGAAUGGAUCAAGUGCCACCAGGUUAAAAAUUCUCAAGACAUACUGCAUGCUACAAAAGCUUCUUCAGAUUUGAGAUUCCAGAGAAAGAAGUGGGAAGGGCAGAGAGAGAGAGAGAGAGAGAGAAAGAGAGAGUUAGAUAGAGAGAGAGAUGGAUACACUUACAGAUAUAUGCACAUACAAAUAUAUUACACUUGCGUGAUGUAGGGUGUCUGUGUGUGGGUGUGUGCAUGCAGGAUAGUCAUUGCUCUCAUAUAGGAACAAUGGAAGGUACCAACAGAAUCUGGGCAGAGUUCAUGAGAUCAGACAUCAAGAUGAUGAAUCUCACAGACCAAAUGACAGAAAAACGAAGAGUGACAGGCUUUUCUAGUUCAGCUCAGCCUGGAAAAGGGAAAGAAACGUGUUAAAAUAAUGCUGACAUCCCUGGCAAUAGUUGUGAUGAUAAUGUAUUCUCUCUUUGCUCUUCUGUUUACAUGGGUUAGAGACAGGCACAGUUAUAUGGUUAAGAAGCUUGCUUCACAACCACAUGGUUUCAGGUUCCGAGUUCCACACUGUUGCACCUUGGACAAAUAUCUUAUUCUAUAGCAUCUGGCUGACCAAAACCUUGUGAGGGGAUUUGGCAGACAGAGCCUGAAAGAAUCUGCAGCAUAUAUAUAUAUAUAUAUAUAUAUAUAUUGUGUGUGUGUGUGUUAGUGUGUUGGUGUCUUCACAUUACAUGAUAGUUGUAAACAAAGUGUCACCAUCAUACGAAGGAUGUCGUUUGUUUCCAAUAUUCUGUGAAGGCAUGCCUGGCCAUGGAGAAAUAUUAUCUUACCUGGAAACAGGUGAGAAUUGACAACAAGAAAUGCACCAAGCUAUAGAAAAUUUGCUUCUACAAACUCCAUCUGAGACAUGUAAACAUGGAGAAGUUAAUGUAAAAUGAUGACCAUGAUGCUCAUGAUAGAUUUCUUGAUGUAGAUUAGGGUUAAUAAGUUUCCAUAUUGACCAGUGGUUCUUAGUCAGGGUCCGUAUGACCUUUGAGAGCCCAAAUAAAAUUUUGUUGUUAAAGUUUAUGUGCAAUAAAUCGGUUAUGUUUCUACACAAAAUAUUUUAUUCGGAAUUGCAUAAAAAAUUGUUAAUGUUUGAUUAUAAAAAAUAUAAUAGGAGUUUUUUCUUAAACACUGAAUGGGUAAGAAGGUCCAGUAUAGUGAAAUUGGAAUCGAUGGGACCCAUAAGCAAAAGAGGGGUGAGAAACACUGAUAUAGACUAUAAGAGUAUAUACUCUCACAAUAAUAUUAUUACCAUUCAACCAAAAUAUUCAGUGGCCAAAAGCAUAUAUUUCUUGUAACAGUAUCAUAUGAGUUCAUGUUUUUUAUUAAUAUAUACCCAGAGAAAUUUAUUUACUACAACUAGUUGUCAAAUCUUUAAGUUCUAUCAGCUUGAAAGGAAAAUGCACAUCGGAUAAUGUAGUUCUUAAAAAUAACAUAAGAUGAUUGUAAUUGGAACUCUUUUGAUCAUAGGUUUGUUCAGUGAGGGCCAGCCUUGGGCUAAACAAUAUUGACUGUAUUCAUUUGUUCAGAGAUAUUUACAAUGUCAAUUCCUAGCUUACUUCAGCCGGUUGCUAACAAAAGAUGUUUACUUAAUGUUGUACCACAGAAAAAGAAAAACAAGAAAAAUAGUUAAAGAAUCCAAUUAUUGGUUGUCUCUUUCUAAGCCACUUGUUGUUACUUUAUAUUUAUUUAUGCCUGAGAUUAUUCGCUGCCAUCUUCAAUUCUUGGCAAAAUAGACUGUGAAGGAUGUCCAUUGAAGGAUGGCAAAUAUUAGAUAUAAUGAAGGAUGGUAAUAUUUAUGUGUAAUGAAUAUUAUGCAUAAUGAGGCAUUUCUAGUUUUGACAUUUAUCUUCCUCAGUUUUUGGUGUUGUACAACAAAUUAUACAGACUCAUCAUCAUUAUCACCAUCGUUUUAAUAUCCCCCAUUUCCAUGCUUGCUUUGGUCAAGUGGAAUUCCCUGAGGCAGAUUUUCCACAGCUGGAUGCCCUUCCUGUCACCAACCUUCACCUGUUUCCAAGCAAGCUAAUAUUUUCCUUUGAUUGAAUAAUGUUUUUUGAUGAAGAUUGGAAAUGAAGGGCACUGCUUGUAUGAGGAUAACAUUUAUUUACAACUUCAUGUGAUGUCAAGACAAAUACACACAAACACACACAAACACAGAUAUACAAUUAGCUUUUUUCAGUUUCUGUCUACUAAAUUCACUUGCAACACUUUGGUCAGCUUAGGGCUUUAGUAGAAGACAUUUGCCCAACUUCCCACAGAGUGGGACUGAAGCUGAGCUCAAAUAAGAUGUGUGAAUUGGUGUGGCAUGAGAAAUAACAAUGAGCAGAUGACCCUCAACUUCUUUUCUUAGUUUCACAUUUCCUAUCCAGUUCAUUAUCUGACCCCUUCUAGUCCCUUUUUUUCUUACAUGAAAUGUGUAUUUGAUUUCCAGUGAAAAUAAGGCAUUAAUUGUUCAGAUAUAACUGGACUAACUUUCAAGAACAUCACAUGAUGUUAUGUUCCUCCUUGUAAUUUCUUAUAAUUAUUCCUUCAUAUUAUUAUUAUUAUUAUUAUUAUUAUUAUCAUUAUUAUUAUUAUUAUUCGGUACUCUUAUUUUUAUUACGUGCUUUCAGUGUACUAUUCAAUACAACACUAUGCCUUGGCUACGUGUAGUGACUUGUUUUGGUUUUGUAAUUUCUAUUAUAUUAACAGUACCAUGUGUGUGGUGUCUAGUAGUACUAAUGUUGUGCACAUUAGUAAAUCCUUUGGUUUUGCUUAUAUAUUUGUCUGCAUGUUUUUUGAUCCUUCCAAAAGCAUGUAUACAGGUUGUUUUGUUUACAGUUUUCAUUAUUUACAUUAUUUGCAAUUGACAGCUGAUCAACGUUUCGGCUGAUUUACCCUCCACCCUUCAUCAGGUGUCUUGGGGAAAUUUUGAAUCUGGGUUCUCAUUCCUAAGGUAUUUUUGAUGUUAUUAUUAUUCAGGUCACUGCUUGGAAUCAAACUCAGAAUCUUGGGGUUAGUAGCCCGCGCUCUUAACCACUACACCAUAUGCCCAUGGGCUCAUGGAAAAGUGGACAUUAAGUGAUGAUGAAAGAUACUGACGAAGCUGUAAAAAUACCUAAUUGGCUCAGUGAAGUAAAAAAUAAAAAAAAGACAAAAGUAAAAAAAAGUGUUAACCUUUUUUUUUUACUAUAUAUCUGUUGAUAUACAUUAUAGUUGUUUUAAUUCAAUUUUAUAAAUUAUUAAAAUACCUUGUCAUUAUGAAGGUGGUUAUUUGAAACAUAACAUGAAAUUUUAAUGGAAGGUUUUUAAAGCAUACUUUAAAACAAGAUCUGUGCAUCAUACAACCAGGAGCAGUGUCAGGUGAAUUGGCUUAGUGGUUAAGAGCACGGGCUACUAACCCCAAGAUUCUGAGUUCGAUUCCAGGCAGUGACCUGAAUAAUAAUAAUAGUUAUAAUAAUAAUAAUAACAAUAAUAAUAACAAUAAUAAUAAUAAUAAUAACAACAUUGAAAAAUACCUUAGGAAUGAGAGCCCAGGUUCGAAAUUUCCCCCAAGACAUCUGAUGAAGGCUGGAGGGUAUAUCAGGCAAAACAUUGUGUUAACAAUGAACAAGAUGAGGACAAAUAUCCAUCAAUUGUAAAUAAUGUAAAUAAUUCCUCAUCUCUUCAAUAUAAAACUUAUUACAGUUUUCAUCUUCUGAUGUUCUCUAUUUUCAGAUAUCAAUGUUUGCAUAAUUUCUCCAUCUUUUUUAGAGAUACAUUAUUAUUUGUUCAGGUAACACUUCCAUUAGGGGGUACUUUCUUUCCUAAUUGUCAUUGAUAGCAAUAUCUGGCCAAUUAUUCUUGUUCUUCCUGCCUGAAUGGAUUGGCAUAUCCCAAAGUAUGGUUGCUUUGUCAUUCUUUCAGACUCAUUCCACCUCUUUUCUGCUGCUGUUUCAUUAUGCCAGCCUAACUCCAAGAGAAUAAAGAAUCUUUCAGUUUUAACUUUGAAUCCUUCUUAAUCAGUAUUAUGAUUUCUCUUUGUUUAUUUCCUCCUUGUUCAGUUUCUCUUCUCAGGCAUAACUCAUCUAGGGGCUUUUUUUGCUAUCACCUAAGCAUAACAUUCUACGGACCAUUUUCCUAACUUAAGUUUUUCACAACUUCUGCUGCUCUUUUUCCUUUCUCCUCACAACUACUUAUAUUAUUUCAGCCUCUCUUUUGUACUUGUUUGCUAUUUUGAAAAUGAGAAACCAAUUUUUUUUAUAUAUUUUGUUGUGCUUGCAACCAUAUAAAAUGUAACAAAACCUACAGUUGAUCAGUAAUUGCUUUUGACAGCCAUAUGAAUCUUUGCAACAACCUUUCUGCUCUUUCAGAAACGAGUUGGAUUUCUUUUUGGUUAGUUUUUCUUUGCUAGAUUUUUAGUUAUUCUCUUUGAUAUUAUUUCAGUUAAAGCUUUGUAAGUAGUAGAAUGAUAGCUUAUAGGUCUGUAAGUUUUAGAUUCUAUUGUUUCUCUUAGUUUUACAAAUUAACCCUUUUCAUACCAACUCACCUGAUGCUGCUCCUGGCUGCAGGAUGCACAGAAAGUGCACUUCAAAACCUUCCAUUAAAAUGUCAUGUUAUGUUUCAAAUACCACCUUCAUAAUGACAAGGUAUUUUACUAAUUUAUAAAAUUGAAUUAAAGCAACAAUAAUGUAUUUCAACAGAUAUAUAGUAAAAAAAAAAGGUUAACGUUUUUUUUUUUGCUUUUGUCUUUUUUUAUUUUUUACUUCACUGAGCCAAUUCGGUAUUUUUACAGCUUCGUCAGUAUCUUAUUAAGUAUCUCUGCUCAUAUCUCACAUCAUCAUCAUUUAAUGUCCACUUUUCCAUACUUGCGAAUGAGACAGAAUUUGUUGAAGCAGAUUCCCAACAGCUGGAUGCCUUUCCUGUUGCCAAUCCUGACCUGUUUCCAAAGCCAGAUAUGUUUCAUACAGAAAACUAGAAAUGAACAAUAUUACUUGUACGAUGCACAUUUACAACCAUCAAGGCAAGCGCACGCACACACACACACAAUUUAGCUUCAUUCAAAUUUACAACCAUGAAACCACUCACAAGGCUUUGGUCAGCCUAGGGACAUAUUAGAAGACACUUGUCCAAGGUUCUGCACACUGCUAUUGAGCAUGCUUCUCAACUCUACUACCAUGCCUACACCUAUGUUCCUGUUAAAUAUUUUACCCAGAUGUUUGGGAUCUUAUCAUGUCCUGGUGCCUUCCAGUUGUUUGUAGUGGUUGAGGUACCUCUUGUAUUGUUAUAUCCCAUCAACAAUUGUUCAGAUAAUAUUUGUUAUUUGAGUAAAUCCUUUCUCUGUCACAAUUACUUCACUCUCCAUAAAUCUAUCUUUCUAAAAUUCCUUGAUUUCGUUUGCCAUUUGUGUUGUGCUGAUUUCCAUUUUGUUUUUACCUAAUUCUUGAUAAACUUGUUUGGAACUGGAUUCUAACUGUUCAAAGAAUCACUGCCACUUUUCAAACUACCAGAUUCUUUGUGAUUUAGCAAUUUUUUAAGCUUUAUUUAUCCUUUUUUUUUUUUUGUGGGGUUUCAUUCUUUCAUUGUUGUAUUUCUGUUGUCUUCUUUCUCUCUUUUUUCCUCUUAAUUCUUUUCUGUUUGUUUAUUUUCCAUGUUGUUUGUUUUGAUUUGGAUUUUGUUGUAUGACUUUAGUACCCAAUUACCUUUCUAAUUUACGCUGGCUGCUCUAUAUUCGUAAACCUCUUUCUUUUUAUUCUCUUUUAUGCAUAUUAUUGUUGGUGCUGUUCGAUCUCAUUUUUGUUGGUCAGUUUUUAUAUAGGUUUUAGAAUUUGUGUUAUUUCUUUGUUUUCUGUGUUCUAGUUCUGUCUUCAUGAUUUAUGUCUUAAAUGUUUAUUAUUUUUCUUGUUUGUUUUCUGUUUUGUAACUUGUGUUUCCAUUGUGUAUUCUUUUUUUUUCAAGUGUUCUGUUUCAUUUUCUGACAGAUAUUUGGCUUUCAGAUUAUUAUUAUUAUUAUUAUUAUUAUUAUUAUUAUUAUUAUUAUUAUUAUAUUUAUUAUUAUUAUUAUUAUUAUUAUUAUAUUUAUUAUUAUUAUUAUUAUUAUUAUUAUUAUUAUUAUUAUUAUUAUUAUUAUUAUUAUAUGUGUUUGUAAGUCCUGGUGUUUUUGUUAUGUAUUAUUAUUAUUAUUAUUAUUAUUAUUAUUAUUAUUAUUAUAUUUAUUAUUAUUAUUAUUAUUAUUAUUAUUUCAAAUUUGCUUCCAUUUCUUGCCAAGUGUCUUCCUGACUCCUAGGGCAAAGAAACUCAUAGUAUACAUUGGUAGGCCAUUAAACUAAACUCACUAGUUCGUUCAUUUUUUUUUUUGAUAGAAAUAAAGUUAAAUUAAAAUACAUGGGUAGUAAUAAUUCUCACAUCGACAAUGCUCUUCUCAAUACAUGUGAUGUACCAGUUAAGACAAUGUUUUGCACUUCUUGCAGGGAUGGUAAGCCAGGGAUCAUUCUCAUAUAAUUUUCGGUUCCCUUCUUGAUCAUUCCUAGUGCUCCUACGAUCACUGGUACUGUAACCACCUUGAGAUGCCACAUUUUCUCAAUUUCAAUGUGCAGGUCUUUAUAUUUUCUGAGCUUGUCAAACUCUUUCACCGAGAUAUUAUGAUCACAGGGGAUGCUCAUGUUGAUCAAUAAGCAAACUUUAUUGUUUUGGUCUUUCACAACAAUAUCUGGUUUAUUGGCUUUGAUGGUUCGGUCUGUAUGUACUGGAAAGUCCCACAGAAUCGUUACAUUUUCUCCUUCAGUUACAGCUUCAGGGUGGUGAUUAUACCACUUGUCAGCAGUUUUGAUAUUGCAAUGCCGACUUAUUAGCCAGUGUAGAUAUUGGCCAACUCUGUCAUGUCUUAAUUUAUACUCCACUGGUGCUAAGACUUUACAUCCAGAGAUUAGGUGGUCCACUGUUUCAAUCAUGUCGUUGCAGAAUCAGCAUUUGGGGUCUGCUCCAUUUUUCAUCACAUUGGCCUGGUAGUUCCGGGUUAAUAGGCUUUGAUCUUCAGCAGCCAGCCACAUAUUUGCCGUGCAGAGGUUUCUCCUCCCACCUAUCAGCCAAUUGCUCGUGCGCUUUUUUCAUUGCCAUUAUUUUCACCUUCUUUGCAACAAUAGUUGCCGUACUUCCCUCGGGUUGUUCAGUUUGGGUAUCCUGCACGAGAUCAAUAGCAAAUUUUUUGCUUUCCUUUAUGAUAGAAUGAAGCUUCUUUCGUCUCUCAUGAUUUUCCACAAGCUUUAGCAUCCAGUCAUUUGUUAUUUCAAGAUAUUUGGCCAGUCCAAUUGUGGUUGUUUUGUAAGCUAGUUCAAACUGGAUCAGGCCUCGAUUAUUAUUAUUAUUAUUAUUAUUAUUAUUAUUAUUGUUAUUAUUAUUAUUAUUAUUAUUAUUAUUAUUAUUAUUAUACUUAUUAUUGUUGUUAUUGUUCUGACCUAGCAGAAUCAUUAUCACUUGAGACGAAAUACUUAGUGGCAUUUCCUCCAGCUCUUUACAUUAUGAGUUCAAAUUCCACUGAGGUUGACUUUACCUUUUGUCUUUUUGGGGUCACUAAAAUAUAGUACCAGCUAAGAACUAGGGAGCCAACGUAACUGACUAACCCACCUCCCUUGAAAUUGCUGGCCUUGUGCCAAAAUCUGAAACCAUUAAGAUGACAAGCUGGCAGAAUUGUUAGCACACCUGACAAAAUGCUGGCAGAAUUGUUAGCACACCUGACAAAAUGCUUUGUGGUAUUUCUUAAGCCAAGAAUGACUUUACCUUUCAUCUUUUCAAAGUUGAUAAGAUAAACACCACUUCAGCUCUGGGGGGUCAAUAUAAUUGACUAGACUCCUCCUCCAAAAUAUUACACCAUGUACCUAUAGUAAUCAUUAUCAUCAUCACCAUCAUCAAUUAUUAAGGUGGCAAGUUAAGGCGGCAGGAUGGCAGAAUUGUUAGCAUGCUGGGCAAAAUGCUUAGCAGUAUUUUGUCCAUUUUGACAGUCUGAGUUCAAAUUCUUCCGAGGUCGACUUUGUCUUCCAUCCUUUCAGGGUCAAUAAAUUAAGUACCAGUGAUGUAAUCAACUAGUCCGCUCCCCCAAAAUCUCAAACCUUGUACCUUUAGUAGAAAGGAUUAUUCAGGUGGAAAGCUAUGCUUAGCACUGUUCCAUCUAUCUUUACAUUCUGAGCUCAAAUUCCAUCGAGGUCAACUUUGCGUUUCAUACUUUCAGAGUUGAUAAAAUAAGUACAAGUUGAGCGCUGGGGUUGAUAUAAUCAACUUGCCCUCCCCCUUGAAAUUACUGGCCUUAAACCAAACUUUGAAAUCAUUAUUAUUGAGGUGUCAAGCUGGCAGAAGAACCAUUAGCAUGUCAAACAAGAUGCUUAGGGGUAUUUCGACAGUCUUUAAUGUUCUGGGCUCAAAUUACACUGUGGUUAGCUUUGCUUUUCAUCCUUUUGGGGUUCACAAAAUAUGUAUCGAUUAAGCAUUGGGCUCAAUAUAAUUAACUAGCCCCCUCCUGCAAAAUUUCAGACCUUUUGCCUAUAGUAGAAAGGAUUAUUAUUAUUAUUAUUAUUAUUAUUAUUAUUAUUAUUAUUAUUAUUAUUAUUGAGUGAGAGAGCAGUGCAUGCCAUCAAAGUGACACUGGGGUAAAAUAUACAAAGCCCAGUAUACCCAUCAUGACUACCCAUCUGAUAAGGGUACACCAGGCACAUGCAUCACAGCCAUAUGUGCACGACAUGGUGAUCUCAUAUCAAGAUAAACAGCGCAUGACCUUGCAGGUGGGGCCCAGUUAGAAUUUUCUUCUGGUCAAGUAAUCCAACCCACUCAAAAGGUCCCUGAAUAAGGGUUGUUUAAGGAUGUUGAACGAAACACCCAUGUUUCCAGAGGUGAAUCAUUCAAACCCCAAAGAAUCCCUCUCAACACAUGGCUAUGAUGCUCCUCCACUACUUCUGCUCGUGAUCAGAGAUGCACAUAUCAUCAGCCACUAAGGGACUUGCUCAACUGGUUAUGGUCAAACAACUGACAAGCAAAUCUGUGGUAUUGGGCAGAAUAUUUGCUGUAGCCCAUCUUUUAUACCAAGACAAAACAAUGUACAUGAUAACACUUCCAACCAGUUAAGAUCAGAAGCCAUGAGAACCACUGCCUGGUACUGCAUCAGGGCAUUUAUCAUUAUUAUUAUUAUUAUUAUUAUUAUUAUUAUUGUUAUUGUUGUUGUUGUUGUUGUUGUUGUUGUUGUUGUUGUUGUUGUUGUUGUUGUUCUGGAAGACUCUCGGAUAGUUCUUAAUGACUGGUUGUUCUUUACUUAAAAGCAGACAAUAACAAAUCACCAAAGGUUUCAAGUGGUGCCUUCUCCUGUGACUCAGAGACAAUACUCUCCUUAGAAUGCGAAUUGUACCCAACAAUGCUGUCUUCUGGAUCACUCUGAGCCUGUCAGCAGCUCCAAUAUUCUUAAUAUAUUUUUCAAAGUCCUUAGAAACUGCUCUUAAUUCUCCAAUUACCACUGGCAUCACCAUUACUUUCCUCAUGCCCCAUAACUUACCCAUCUCGUCCCGCAGUGGCUGCUAUUUCUCACACUUUUCUGUUUCCUUACAUUUCACCUGCGAAUCACCUGGUAUUGCAACAUCUAUUAUCUUUACUUCUUUUUCAUCGUUAUGGAUGAUCAUGAUAUCUGGCCUUCUCACCUGUAUGACUUGGUCGCACUGUAUAUUUAUAUCAGUUUCCGCAUCAGUGGCAAACAUGAUGAUGAUGAUGAUAUUAUUAUCAUCAUCAUCAUUAUUAUUAUUGAUGUUGCACAGCAUACAAUAUCGUGAGGUUGUUGAUAGAAGAUAUUCUAUCUACUGAGGGUUUGUACUGUUUGCCAAGUCACAACAAGGACCUCAUUGGCGUCGGCGGCGUUGGCGGCGUCAUUGUUUCUUUGCUCAGUUUUAUGGAAACUGUUACUCUAAAAGGAGGGGGUCUGCAAUUGGAUUCCAUUUCUUUCCUUCCCAUUUCAUCUCACAUUUUACCGAAGAUCUUCUCCUAAUACUUUUUGCAAUAGUUUAUCUAUUCUCAAUAAAAUAUUUUCCCAAAGUGCUCCAUACUUCAGCAACUCUCUAAUAUACCAUUCCUUGGGAGCCUAACAUUACUGGAAUUGCAUUUAUCUUCUUUAGUGAAUAUAUAUGUGAAAUGUCUUAUUUGAAGUCCUGAUAUUUCUAGAUUUUUUUUUUAGAUUUUUCUUGAAAUCCAAUUCUAGCAUUCCUGAAUUUUAUUAAAUUGAUGAAUUUUACCUGCUCUUAACUGAUUGUCAACUACAGUUGUAUUUGGUCAACUUGUCUCUACCAUAAAGCUGUAUUAGGAUACAGAAAUGAAAUAAAAGUGUAUAUAUUGAUACAUUUAGACUCAAUUAUAUCCAAAAGCCAGAUGCUCUAACCACUUUCUUGUUCUUUCAAAUUAUCCUGACCACAAAAUUCUCAAUGGACAAAUCUGCACAACAUUAUUACGUCUUCUUUUAGAUUCUCUCUCAACCACUUUACAGCAUUCACUUAGCAAAUCUGCUACAUUUUUAUUUCUUCUCACAUAUUCUUCAUAAUGAUGACUUAGCUACCUCAUCUCUGUGCAACUUGAUAUAAUUUGUCCUUAAAGCUUUUUCCAGCUCUGCAAGAACGAGAAUUAGUGCUUAACUUCCUUGAUUUUGUGGGUGGGUGUGUUUUUGUUUCUCUCUCUCUCUCUCUCUCUCUCUCUCUCUCUCUCUCUCUCUCUCUCUCUCUCUCUCUCUCUCUCUCUCUCUCUCUCUCUCUCUCUCUCUCUCUCUCUCUCUCUCUUUGAUUUGCAUCAUUUUUAUCCCAUUCCAUCAAAACAAUUCUCAUUAUGAGCCAAGAACACAGUGUCAAAGUGAUCACGUGACCUGAUAGAAAUAGUGGCCAAAUCUCAAAUCUCUUUCAAAUUACAACCAACCAUCUUUGAAAAAAAAAUGAGGAAAAAAAACCAUCCUGAAAUGAAGAACAUCUUAGAUAAUAAGGUUCUGGGCACAUUAUUACUGGAAGAAAUAUGAGAUGGUCAGAGAGGAAAUGCCUUUAAUAGAUCCACUUGAUCAGAGCUGAGCUGGGACUGAACAAUUACAUCACUACAAAUCACACAGCCUGCAUACCAUUACUCAAGCUGCUAGAAAUAGCAAGUAAACUUUUCUCAAAUCACAUUCUGCCAUCUUAAAAAAUGGAGCAAUGCACUGAAUAAUCUUGGUGGUGGUGGUCAGCUUGUUUUGCUUUUUUAUUGAGUCCACAGACUAGAGGUUAAAGAAUUGGUACCAUCAAGAUGUGAAUAGUCUUGUUUCUCUUCAUAUAUCCUAUUUAAAGAGGGACAUGAAGAGAGAUUGAAAAGAAAGGGAAACUGUGUGUAUGUGACAGAGAGAAAGAGAGAGAGAUAGGGGGGGUGCAUGAGAGGGGGUGGGGGGUAAAGUUAACUUCAGUCCUUGAUUGAUGCUUUAUUGACCAAAAGGGAUGAAAGCAAAAUUGGCUUCAGUCAGGUGUUUUAAUUAAGAGCAGAGAAACCUCCCCUGCACAGCUUCCCAUCUUGUGUCCAAGCUUAGAGAAUAAUGAGGGAUCUGCGUAGAGAAAGAAACACUUUGCUAUCCUUCUUCUUCUUCACAAUGUCAAGCCAUUGUUCAUUUUUCACUUUUCUCUUGGUUCUGUCAUUGGACUUCAGCCAUACUGGGGCACCAUCUUCAAGGGUUUUAAUCAAAUGAAUCGACCCCUGUACUUCAUUUUUAAAACCUGGUAUUCUAUCAGUCUCUUUCUGCUGAACGACAAAGUCAUGUAAACAAACCAAUAUUGGCUGUCAAGCAAUGGCAGGAGGAAAACACACACACACGCAUGCACGCACACACGCACACAUACGACAGGUUUCUGUCUACCAAAUCCACUCUCAAGACCUUGGUUUAUACUAGAAGAUACUUGCCAGAGGUGCCAUAUAAUGGCACUAAACCCAAAACCAUAUGGUUGGGAAGCAGAUUCCUUCCCACCCAGCUGUCCUUGUGCCAUGUUUAACUACCCUGGUAAUUGUUCUAUUCUGCUUCUCUUUCAUUAUACACCCUUAUAUUAUUAUCUAUGAAAUAUCUCAAAAAGUACUUUUAUAAUAUGUCUACUUCUGCACUCUGUUUCAAUUAGCUUGAUCCCUAGUCAUCAUUAGGUCCUUCAGUUCUUGGAUAUCUGCUGGAUUUAAACUAAGAAGUAUGAACUUGUACAGGAAGCAAUGGCAUAGUAUAUGAAGACAUUGGAACGCUUAAUUCAGAAAUAAGCAUCUUAUUCCAAAUUUGGUCCAAAACCAUUUAUAUAUUCUGAAAUAAGAUGGCUGCAGAUUAAGUUGUUUGCAACAUAGUGUAGGUAUAAAUGUUGAAAAUAUAUUCUAUAAAGCUGAGGUUAAUAAAAUAAAAAAUUAGGAUCAUAAUAUCAACAACUCAUUUUAGACAUUUAAUCAACAAGAUUAUACAUUUAAUCAACAAGAUUACGCAUGUUUUUCCAAAUAAAUUAAUCAUACUCCUUACAACCAACAUCAAUAGAUUACUUCUGUUGCCAUUAUCUUCUUUUAGCAUUCUGCUCUCCAGGAAUAAGGAGAAUCAGAUUGAGUCCAUUUUGUUGCAAGCAUUUUGGGUCAUGUUUCUGCUCUAAGGAUAAUUUCCUACCUUCUUCCCACCAGUUUCAGGAACUCUCAAUAGACACAGCUCUUCUUUUUCUGACUAAAACUUUGAAAGCAAAUAUAUUAUCAUCAUUGUUUUGAAAUCCAGUUUCCGAUGCUUCCAGCUGUUAUUCUGGUUGCCAACCUACACCUGUUGCCAAACAAAGUAAUACAUACAGUUGUAAGAUAAAUUAAAUGGUAGAACCAUUUGAACAUCAGAUCAAAUGCUCAAGGUGUUGUCUGUUCUGGUUCUUUAGAUUCUAUGUUCAAAUUUGGUCAAAGUCAACUUUGCCUUUAACCCAUUAGCAUUUAAACCAGCCAUGUCCAGCCAAAAUACUCUACCAUUUUUAUGCUUAAACUGGCCAGAUCUGGUCUCUCACACCAACCCUACAAUAUCAGUUACCUACAAUUAACAGUUACCUCAUCAUAAUCUCAAACCCACGACAUAAUGCAUGAAUAAUUCAAAAGAAUGUGAAUAGAUAGGCAUUCUGUUUGUCAGAAUAAUGGGAAUGCCAAAGGGGUGAUCCUUUCAAGGCCAGUAAAAUAAAGUGCCAGUCCAAAGGAGUGGGUUGGUGGAAUUGUAAGUCUCUUGAGCAUAAUGCUUUGUGGCAACUGUUCCAGUUUUAUAAGCUCUAACUACCCAUGUAAGCAAAUGUGCAUUUAGCCAAUGUGUCUUACAAAUAAAAUCUUAAAAUUCUUAAAAGAAGGAAACCACCUUUGUAUUCUCCCAUGAAAAUUCCAUGAUAAGCAUAUUGUGGUUGUCAACUAAGUCACCAGGGUGCACCCAUUGACCUGACAGUGCUAAACAAAGAAGGAAGACGCUCUGCAUUCAGACAUCUACAAAUACGACCCAUUUUAAUCCUGAAAUGAACAGCUGGGAUGCCUUUGUUUGCAUCUUUCAAAUGUAGGACUGUCCUCCUACAUUUUACCAUUCAAAAUGAUGAUGAUUAUUAUUAUUGUUACUAGCGAAGUGGAUUGGAUGAAUCAUUUGGGACGUUGGUAAAAAAACAAUGCUUUGCAGUAUUUUGUUUUUGAGUUCUUAGAUUCUGGGUUCAAAUCUCACUGAGUCUACUUCCCUUUCCCUCUUUUCAAAAUCUAUAAAAUAAAGGACCAGUUAAGUCCUGGAGUUGAGUUAAUUGACUAAGACCUUCUUCUGCAUCAGCCUCAGGCCUAUAUUAGAAGCAGUUAAUAUUACAAGACCUAUCAAGGUAGUGAGCUGACAGAAUUACAGGUGCACGGGGUAAAGUAAUGAUUUGCAGCAUUUCGUCCUUCUUUAUAGUUUGAGUUAAAAUCCCACCCAGGUCAGCUUUUGCCCUUUUCGGGUCGAUAAAGUAAGUGCCAGUUGAGCACUGGGGUUGUUGUAAUCAACUUACUCCCUCCCCAAAAAUUUCUGACCAUAUGCCAAAAUUUGAAACCAAUAUUACAAGACUUGUGAUCAAAAGCACUUCUAGCCAACCUAGAGUCUACCCCAAAUCCACAUUAUCCAAUGCAUCUGCUUUUUUUUUGCUUUUUUUAAGAUGAAGUAGUCUGAAGAUAUUUUAGCACAUCAACCAUCCACUUUGAGGCUCCCUUAUUCCCUUGUAUUCCUAAGUCUAGGGAUUACAUGUUUUCCAUUUUUUGCAAUAACAUCACUUUAACCUUUGCAAAUAUUUCUUUGCAGAAUUCUCUAAAUGCCUUUAAAACAUUUGUUAUUCUUCGGUGCAGUCUGGUCAUAGUGUAGUCAGUACAGAAAGGCCACUCAAAGACAUUUACAUGACAAGCUGAAGAAUUUUCCAAUCUUCUCUUGAGUUUUUAACUUAAUAUCACAAUUUCAUUAUUGGUGAAUGAAAAGGUUGUGUGUUAGAAGAAGUCUCUGCUGAGUCAGUCAACGCUUGAUUGCAUUUCUGAUGAUGAGAGUAACUCAUGGAGAAUAAAUAGCACAAAGAACUCGUAAACUUUAUAAAGCACCUGCUUUUCUCUGUGUGUGUUGGUGGGGGUGGUAAGGAGAAGCUGGUGGGGGAGGGUCUUUUGAUUGCUCACUGAUAUUUACAUCUUUCACCAAUAUAUAUUAGCAAAAAAUAAAUACACAUAUGCUCACAUACACACAUAUACACCCACACUCAAACAUAUAUAUAUGUGUAUGCUUUAUAUAUGUGUGUGUGUUAUCAGAUAUGGAAGGCCAAUUGGGAAAGCAAUGCUUCUCAUCGCCACCAACGGAGAAAACAAGUAAAGGAGGGGGGGCUAUUUCCAAGGAAAUACAUAUUUUUCCUGCUGAACUUAAGUGAGCUACUCAAAAGUGCCCAGCCAAUGUAGUGAGUGGGGUAAGUUGGGUCUACAGUGUCUGCUGAUGUCUCUGUCUCUCAAGAGUUGGGCUUGUUGGUCAUCGACAGAGCCACAAGUGUAAAGUAGGAUUUCUGUCUGAGUGCCUAGGGUUCUUAAUGGUCUUUCUCAGACAUGAAGACACAGUCACCAUGUAUGCAUGCAUAUAUGUAUAUAUAUAUAUAUAUAUAUACUAUAUAUAUAUAUAUAUACAUACACACACACACAUGAGGAGGUACUGAAAAGUUCCUGGCUUUGGGUAAAAGAAAAUAAUGGGAGGAUCAGUGAAUUAUGAUUUUAUUCAACAUAUCCCCCACCCUCUCAGGUUCCCCUCUCAGAUUCACACACUUACUGCAGCAGUUCUUCAGUUUUUCUGAGCCCUGUAAAAAACCUUGAAAGGUUGGGCCUCCAACCCCAGGCCUUUUGUAAUAUCCUUAAAGCCAGGACCUUUUCAGCACCCCCUUGUAUGUAUAUGAUAUAUAUUUAGAUGAUGAUGACGAUGAUGACGACGACAAAGAUGACUAUUGCAAAUCGAUUUCAAGCAAUGCUAUCACUUGAUUACUCUCUCUUAAAGUGAAAAGUCAGAGCUGUAUCUUUCCAAUCCUGCUCAGGACUUACACAUCUUUCUCAAAAGAUGUAGCAAUGAUGGGCACCUCUUGCAGCAGGUGUUCAGAGACUUUGUGACCUACACUGACAUGUGCCUUCAUACCACUAUUGAAUACUUUAAUGGGGUGGUGUGUUACUUCUUUUGGCCAUGGCCAGCUAUAAUAUACAACACAUAACACACACACCCUCAAGCACCCUCAAGCACACACAUAUAAAUAUAUAAAACAUAAGCAUGUGUAUAAAUAUGUGUGAGUGUGGGUGCAUGCAUGUGCAUUUAUAGUAUUAUCGUUAUAGGUGCAGACAUUGCUGUGUUGUGGAAAGAAGCUUGCUUCCCAACCACAUGGUUCCAGGUUCAGUCCCACUGCAUGGCAUCUUGGGCAAAUGUCUUCUAUAGUCUCGGGCUAUCCAAAUCCUUGUGAGUGGAUUUGAUUGGAGGGACCUGAAACAAACCCUGUGUGUGUGUGUGUGUCUUUGUGACAGUGUUUGUCCCCCACCAAUGUUGGUGUGUUUAUGUCCUUGUAACAUAGCUGUUUAGCAAAGAGACCAACAGAAAAAAUACCAGGCUUUAAAAAAAAAAAGUCAGUACUAGGUUCAAUUCAUUCAACUAAGAAAAUUCCUCAAAGCAGUGCUGCAGCAUGGCCACAGUCUAAUGAAAGAUAAAAGAUAGUACAUAACACUAUGUUCAAUAGCAAUCAAGUGUGACUUGUACCGCAUCUUUAAAUAAUGGUUUUAUGUGUCCAUGUAGCCAUAAGCAAACAGCUCUUAAUUCUUCAUCCUACCCUUCACCUAACUAAACAUUCAAAGCAUGGCAGCACUUGAUGAGUAAUUUCAAAAUUCUUUUUUUUUAUAUAUUUCAUUUAUGGUAGCACAUUAGUUUGUUGAUGCCCCAGCUUUACAGAGGAUCUGGUUUCAUGUUUUAAGACUCCUCAUAGAUUGCUUACGAUGCCUCUCAACUGUCAAAGUCAACAAUAUAUCUUCUUACGAAAUACACAAACUCAAUACCACUGACAUAAAGAAAUUAAUAUGAUGGAACAGCUCCAGAAGUUUAUCCAUAGAUUAUAUUUUCUUAGCAAACAAAUACAGGUUUAUAUUGUAUGUGAUUUCUUGGCUGUCAGCCUUGCAUCAUUAUGUAAAUAAUAAUAUUUGCAUUUGUAAUAGGUUCUUUACAUUAUUCAUAAGAGUCUCCAUUCUUCUUCACUUUGGCAGCUGAGAGGUGAGAUAAGCAAUUUCUUAUGAGUAUUAAGAAAAACCAAAGGGCAUCAUUUGCUUUUUUUUACAUAAAGGUAGCUGCAUACAGGUUUGUAUGUGUAUGUAUGUGUAUAUAUAGUUUAUGCAUAUCUGUGUGUGUACAUAAAUAAAUAUGUGUGUGUGUGUGUAUACUGUAUGUGUGUAUGUACUUAUACAUGUGAUAUAUAUAUAUAUAUAUAUAUAUAUAUAUAUAGGUAGAUAGAUGUGUGUGUGCAUAUAUGUACACACACAUAUCUAUCUAUACAUAUAGACAUAUAUAAUUGUUAAAGAGGACAACAAACGUUGAGGCAAGGCAAACAUCUCAAGUCAAAUACAUUAUUAUUAUUAUUAUUGGAAACAAAUUCAAAGUCUUACAGCUGUUUCUGGGAUAUCGCAGAGUAUGUGAUAUUCCAUCAUUGGAGACAAAUAGGGAAAAUGAGGAGGGUACAGCUCAAUGAACUGAUGAGAUAGAGGACAGGAGAGAAGGAAGUCCAACUUAAAUCUACACAAUCAGAAAGUUGAACUGUGAACUUUUAUGCCUUUUUUUUCUUCCCUUUCUUCAUCUCCUUAUUCCUUCUCUCCUCUCCUCUAUGUCAUCAUUCCAUUACUCUAUACCCUUCUUAUUGUCCCUCUAGUUCUGAUACUGACUCAGCUAUUAGAGCAAGGUCAUCAGCGUAGAGGAGCUCCCAGGGGCAGCCUCUAUUGAAUUCCUGUUAUUGCCUGGAGGACUCUGAUGAAUAAGAGGUGGAUGAGGACUGAUCCUACUUUUAAUGUAUUAAUUGAUUAAUAUUUUACAAAUAAUUAUUUACCCUGGAUAAAUAAUUAAAAGCUAUUUUUGAUUGAAGGUUUUCUUCAAUUUUAUAAUCAGAUGAUUUUAUACCGAAAUUUGUUCAUUGCAAGCAACCGGUCAUUGUAAAGACUGUUAGUUGAAAGGACCAAUGAAACAAAACCAUUUUCUAAUAUGUAUCUAUUAAACUAAUUGUAUAUGUUUGCUUAUCACCUUAUUUUUGUUCCAUUCUAAACAAACGGGAGCAUGAAACUCUGAAUAACAGUUUUUGUGAUAUUUUUGCUGCUUUUUAAUAAAGUAUAUUGCUCUGCCUCUGGUAUUUGAGUACUAUUUUUUCCACCUUGUUUCGCAUUUAUGUGCCUACUCUGGUAUAUAUAUCAUCAUCAUCAUCGUUUAAUAUCCUUUUUCCAUGUUGGCAUGGGUUGGACGGUUCGACUGGGGAUCUGGGAAGCCAGGAGGCUGCACGAGGCUCCAAUCUAAUCUGGCAGUGUUUUCUUCAGCUGGAUGCCCUUCCUAACGCCAACCACUUCGAGAGUGUAGUGAGUGCUUUUUACGUGCCACUGGCACAGGGGCCAAAGGGGGCUGGCAUCGACCACAUUUAGAUGGUGCUUUUCCAUGCCACUGGCACAGGAGCCAGUCAAUGCAGCACUGGUAUCGGCCACAUUCAGAUGGUAUUUUUCAUGUGCCACUGGCACCAGAGCCAAUCAGGGUGAGGGGGAUCUGGCAUCGACCAUAUUUGGAUGGUGCAUUUUACAUGCCACCGACACAGGGAGCCAGACAGGUGGCACUGGCAUCAGUCACAAUUAGAAUUUCCAUUUGAUUGUGGUUUGAUUUGAUUUUGAUGUUGAUGUACUUGACUCAAUAAGUCUCCUCAAGCACAGCAGGUCACCCUACGAUCCAAGGUACUUUUGAGUGGGCUGGUUAUGCGACACUGGUAUGGACUACAGCUGUGGUCUCACUUUAUUUGCCAGGUCUUCUCAGUCACAGCACAUCUCCAGAGGUCUCAGUCUUUCAUCAUUGCCUCUGUGAGGCCCAGCGUGAACCCCAACAGCUACACCAUACUUUUCUACCAUGGAUGAGAUUAUGUAGGGUCAUUCAUACCCAACUUCCUUGCCACAUCCUUCCAUCUUUUCCCGAAUAUACUUCGCAUCAGGUGCCUCUCCAGCCCUAUCUUGUUCUUCAGAUGAUAUCUGAAGUAAUAAAGCAAACCAGGGCCAGAGAUGAGAAUUCCUGUCAUGACUCCUUUUAUUCUAGUUUUCCUUAUACACUCUUUCAAUACGGCGACUGUGCAUAAAAAACAUGCCUCACUUUCCUUUGAUAGUCUAGGUGGUGGUACAAUCUCGAUCAUGGACUCAGCAGUGAGCUGUACUCUUCCUAGAUGUGACAUCAUGUGUUCUACAUAAAUUAUCAGCCCAAAAGCUCUGGGCCCUGAAUAAGAGCUGCAGGACAGUUUCAUCGCCCUGCCCACACUUUGGGCAUGUCAGUGACACAGACAUUCUAUGCUGAGACAAUCUGUUGUGAACAGGUAACGCAAUUCUAUAGCACUGCCAAGUCAGGGAUUUCUGGUAGUUAUCCAGCUACCCUGGCCUGAAAGUUCUUUGAAACAGAUUGGCUAGCUGGCCUUCAUCAAGCCCCGGAGCUUCUCCUAGGACGUCAUCCCUCAUAAAUUCUACCAGCCCUCUAUAGAAUAUCGAGAUGGUAUUCCCACUGCCAACCUUGUCCACCUUAUGGAUUAGCACAAGUGCCUGUCAGCACUCCUUUUGCCAUUCAGUCAUGUUAUGUCUUUUAAUGAAGGUAACUGUUUAUUUGGACUGUGGAUUUGAUGCCACCAUAAAUGGCAGUGAUCCAACCACAGAAGUCUGGACCUAGCCCAGCUGCUUCGAGGACCGCCGCCAGGUACUAGUGGUCUACGCUAUCAAAAGCUUUACUCUGGUCUAAAUGGACCAGUGCCCGACCUUUACUGGAUAAUUUACCCACCCUCUCUAAGGUGUAGCGCAGGAGAUGGAGAUUGUCCUGGAUCAACCUGAAUUGGAUGGUGCAUGUCUGCACUCUCCCAACAAGUUUCUUCGCAACACUCGCCAACCUCUUUGCUAACACCUUGGCCAAAAUCUUUAACUCUACAUUGAGUAGAAUUAUGGGCCUAAAAUUACUAAUAUGGUCCCCCUUGCUCAAGUCUUUUCUGAUCAGCGUCACCAGUCCCUGACUCACAGAGCUGGGAAUCCUCCUAUCCUGCUGCCAGUUAGUGUAGAUGCAGGCCAGCAAGUGUCCGAAUAAGUCUGGCAUGCUACAAUAAAAUUCAUAGGGCAGACCAUCCAGCCCCGGCAACUUGUCCCUGGUGCACUCAGCCAGCACCUCUUCAACCUCCAUAGCCAUAAUCAGCCCUUCACAGCAUUCCACCUCCUGUGCCAAGAGUCAUGGCCCACUGGCAAGGGAGUUCCUUAGGGGGACUCCCCACAGUCCAGCCUGGCACUCUCCCCAAACAACCAAGCAAAAUGCUGGUGAAAAGCCUUUUGCAUCUCUUCCUGUUCUUCCAUCAUACGCAUAUGUUCGUCCAUUAAAGAAUAUCCACACGAUGUGCCCGUCCGGCAAUGUUAAUACCCUCUCUCCCCACCACACAAAGCUUAGCUCUGACUCUAUACCUUUUGUGUUUGGCUUUGAGAUGAUGGAAAAAAAAACCACUUUUGCUGCCAUCACUCUGGCUGCAGACCCGGAUUCCAUGGCUUCAUCUAAUUCCUUAAUUAAGGUCCCUUCUAUUUGAAUCUUAUCUUGACUUAGCUGUUUACUAAAUCUAAUAGAAUAUAGAAUGAAUGGCUCGCUUUCUAGUAGCAUUUUGAGGCCAGGGUUUCCCCUUCUAUUGGUCGACCCAACACUAUCCACCCAUGCAUCGAGAAUAGUGUUAAAGUCUCCAAGUACAACUAGAGUUUUUGACGUCACUAAGAAGUUCUCCAGGUCCCAGAAAAGCCCUGCUCAUCAAUUAAAGACUUUAUAGAGGUUUCUCUGCCUCUACGACUCUCCACAUGACAAUCCCAUCCGGCAACUCUCCCCACUGCACAUAACAUAGCCCUGACUCUACACCCUUCGUGUUUGGCUUUGAGGUGGCGAAACAAGACCGCCCUCGCCACUGUCACUCUAGAUACAGAGCCAGAUUCCAUGGCCUCUUCUAAUUCCUUAACUAAUUUCCCUUCUAUUCUAGUCUUUUCUAAACUUAGCUGUUUGCUAAAUCUAACAGACUCUGAACAAAUGGCUCUUUUGAGGGCCCACCACCAUCUAUUAUUGAUGAUGGCACCACAUAAUGCCCUCUGAACUAAUUCCUUAAUCCGGGCACAGAAGGUUUUACAAGUCAAAAUAGACUUGUUUAGCUUCCAGUACCCUGGUCCCCGUCUAUGGCACUUAACUAAGUACACCUUACACGUCACAAAUUUGUGAUCCAUGUAAGGGAUGCAAUAGAAACAUGGACAACUAACAGUAUCCUUAUCUCUAAUGAAUAUUCUAUCGAGAUAAGACCUUUGUGAACUGUCAUUAUUAGACCACGUCCACUGUGGAACAAGUGGUUCAUCCAACCUAUAACAGUCUACUAAGUCAUACCUUGUUAGUAGCCUUUUCAGACCAGGAUUUCCCCUUCAUUUUGCUGAGCCAACACUAUCCACUCAUGCAUCGAAUGAGUUAAAGUUAGUGUUAAAGUCUCCUAUUAAAACUAGAGUCUUAGACAUUACUAAGAAAUUCUCCAAGUCACAAAAAAACCCCAGCUUGCCUACACUCAUUCGGAGCAUAGACAACUACCAACCUGAAAGACUGCUUACUUACAUGUGUCACAUCUAGGUCUACCAGCCUACCUUCUGGGUUCAGAAAGACUGUACUUACCUGUACGUCCAAGCUUUUUCUGAACAAAAUCACCACACCUGCGCCUCCUAGAAGAGGUGAGAACAUAUGUGGCUCAUUCAACUUGGACUCAGUUACCACUCAUAUAUCCAAAUUUAGUGACCUGAAGUCGUUCAGGAGACAAAUUUGUUUCCAUCUCAUUUAUACACCUUACUUUAAUCUCCAUGCAAGAAUUUAAAACAGAGAAAGAAACUUAAGUUUUUUCGUUUUGGGGAAGGGCUGCACUAAUCUUGGCAGUCUCUCCUUCUUUUUCUCUCUGGGGUGCAGCCUCUAGUAUUUCCUGGACCACUUCUUUAGUCACAUCCAGCAAAUCAUUGGGAUAUCUUUUUUUUUACAUGAUUCGUACAGUUCAUUGUCAAUAACUUUUGCCAACCGGAUAUGGGCUGGCAUGUGUUGUACCUGCUUAGAUAUGAACACCUGCGGGAGUCUUCUACCCAUUACUUGGUUCUUUUCAUUGUACUUUAUGUAUCUUUCUUUUGAUUGGGGGGUGGGAUCUGGGGUUUCGAUUUGGGAAUGGACUGGGGAAUUUUUUCUUGUGUAUCUGCAUGCGUGUUGUUAUUGCUUUCUUUGUUAGAGGAGGGGAGUCAGGGGCUGGGGUUUUUUACCUUUUAUGUGUCACAACUGUAUAAUCCAUCUUUUCCCUUUUAUCUCGUUCACUUCCUUUAUUGCCAUCUUUUGUUUUCUGGGAUUUAUUCUCCUCUUCUUAGUCUCUUUCUCUGGUUUUCCCGGUUUUUUUUCUCCUCCAUCUUGUUGGUUUCUAUACCUUUUUCUUUUCGGGGAGGGACAUCUACUUUUUUUGCCGUUUCACUGUCUGGCCUCACAUGUCCCUUCUCACCACACUUAAAACACCUCGGUCUUUGACCUUCCACCGAAACAUGGGCACUUAGUCCCUCCCCUAUAAAGAUUUGAUCUGACCUUGAUUCCAGAACCUCAUUUGGGGCAUGUACGACAAUUUCCAGGGUGUGGCCUUUCCAAUUAAUGGCCUCCCUCCUUCUCAUUUUCUGUUACGUUGUUGCCUUUAUGGAACUCAUAAAACAAAAUAUGCCGAAUAUGCUCCUUUGUCACUUCCAUUAUAGCUUUGGAAAAAUAACUGUUAAAAUCGAACUGCACUCUUCAAAACUUGCACUAAGAAUAAGGACAUGGUAAAAUAUCUACCUGCUUUUAUAGCAAAAUGAUACGGGUAGUUUAUUGCAUCCCCCACUGACUUUUUGUUCAUGCAAUUGGAAAAACUGCAUUAUUUAUGGGAUGACCCAAUAUACACACUCAUACAUAUAUAGCUUUUUCAUUUGUAUGUACAUGUACUUAUAAACAUACAACCAAACUACCAAAUGUAUGUAGAGGCAUAAUUCUUCAGGCCAAUGCUAAAAACUCACAACAUGCAUAUACAUACACAUAUACAUACACAUAUACAUACACAUAUACAUACACAUAUACAUACACAUAUACAUACACAUAUACAUACACAUAUACAUACACAUAUGUUUUCAAGUGAUUUCUUUUGUGCUCAUAUUUUAUUGGCAUCUAUUUUUUUUCAUAUUUUUGUAUGUUUACUUUUUCCUUUCAAUUGCAGUAUAUGUUUUGCACUUAUUAUUUACAAAAUGACUGAUUUUGUUUGGAGGGCAUUUUUUCUGUUUGUUUAUAUAUAUAAACAAUUUCAACAAAAUCUAAGUAUUUCUCCACUUACUAAAGCUGUUGUGUUUGUGUGAAUGAAUAUUAUGAUCAUAUAAGUAGGUCCAGUUACACAUGUGUCUAUUCUCAUCACACUAAAUUUGUUUGCUUAUAACAAUCUGAAAAAUGGAUAUUUUUUAAUGAUAAUUUCUGAAAAUACAUUUCAAACGCUGUAGAUUAAGAUUAUAUCAGUAUUUGCUGGUGGGUGAGAGUAGUUUGGGAUAAUUUCAGAUACCUCAACUUUGUUUUCUUAUAUGCUUUGAAGAUGUAGAUAACAAUUAUGUUGAGGACUAUACCAUAUUUUCCUUUCUGGAAUUUAUUAAAUGAAAUUUUUUUGAAGAAUGAAAUUUUCUAGGCCUAUUGUAUACUAACCAGCAAUACUAACAAAUUCCUCUGUUAGUUUUUUUUCCUUCAAAUUAUGCCAGUAUCUCUUUCAUUAAAAACAUUUUACUCAUAGAAAGGGUGGAAUAGUUUGCAUGUUUUUUUUUUUUUUUUUGCAUAUAAACAUAUGAAGAAAUAAAGUUGAGGUGAGUGAAAUGACCAUCCCCCACUAAUUUGCUUUAUUCACAUUGAAUUUCAAUAUAAUUGUAAUCUGCACCACCUGAAAGUUAUCGAGAAAACUUCAUUACAAAAUAUCCAGUUUUCUAAAAGUCAUGAAGAAAGUCGAGGCAUGUGAGUUAUCUGAAACGCUUCUCUCUCCCCGCAACAAAUUCCAAAAUAAUUAUCAUAGACACAUCUGAAACAUUUGUAGAAAAUUUCAUCAAAAGAUACCCAUUCUUUAAAAAGUUAUGAGGAAACAAAUUUGCGUGCAGGGGCCCACUUGUGUAGUUAUGUCCAAUAAGUGGAUUCGUAAACUUGGACGAGUGUUGAUCAAAAUGCUUUGCAAUACUGUGUUGCAUCUCUUUACAUUUUGAGUUCUAUUCAUGCCUUCGUCAAUUUAGUUUUUCUUUUCACUUUUAAAGGAUCAAAAAAUAAUAAAACUCCAGUCGUUAUAAAGAACCUUUUUGAACUUUCAAAACUUCUUUUUUUUCGGUUUAACUUAUAAAAAUUAGUGUAAAAAGGGAAGUAAGUCCCCUGGCUUCAAAUAUUCAAGGAAGAUAACUCUGGGAAUUUAUUGGUUUUUAAAUUUUAGGCAAAUAUACAAGUUUUGAGUGAAUUUUAUUUUUUGAUGUUUGUUUGUUUUAUUAUUGGUCUUCAUUAUGGGAUUUAUGGCCAUACUGGGGCACCUAGACUCUAAAUAAAUUUUUUUUAUUGUUUCUCAGUUUAACCGAUCCCUAUUUACACUGUCUCAAUUCGUAAAACAGAGUCGUAUGUUUAUUUAGAAUAAUUUAGGGAACAAAAACAUCGUUUAUAAAAGAAAGCUAAGAAAUCUGUAAAGAAAUAAACGCAUCAAGAGAAAUAAGAGCUUCACAGAGUUAAUAGGAGGGGUUGAGAGUUACCUCCCUUCAGUAACAUCUCUAUAUAUGAACUGGUUUACAUAUAUAUAUAUAUAUAUAUGUAUGUAUGUAUGUAUACCAACGUUCUGUGUGUGUGUUAAAUUGGAAUUUUUUAUUUCAAAGCUAGUUCAAAAUAAGAGCGUAACAUUUACUGAUGGGGUAACUCGAUACGAAGAGCAAAGUCAACGAUUAAGACAAAACUUGAAUUCCCACUCAGCAAAACCAUAACAACGCACACCCACACAUUGCACGCUUCUGUUGUUUCCUUCUUACAAAUUUUACUCACGAAUCAUUUGUCGACCUGGUGUUAUAGAAAACUGUUGUCGAAUGUAGCCUGCAGUCGUAUGGUACUUAGAAACAAACAGUAACAGCGUCAGUUCUCUUCAACCAAAUGUUCAUGAAGAGAAAUUAUGUCUAUCCACGAUCACCCUCUCAGUUUUCGACCCGCAGGAUCUUCUUGAAAUCAUGAGGGAAAACCUUUAGUAAAUUUCCUACAAAAGAAAAUAGUGGAAUCUGGGGAAACUGGUGAUGGUCUGUGUCACCAUUCAGAGCAUGAACAGUUUAAAACCAAAACUAAUUAGUUUGCCAUGGGGAAGAGAAAAUGUCUGACACAGCAGGUAGUAAGCUUUUGUCAGAAGCUGAGGCUGAAAGUGUUAGACUUCCCUUUGUGAAAGCAAUUAAUUUACUGCUCUUUUGAAUUAUUUCUACAUUAGCCAUUAGCCCACAGCAGUGUAGUUGAAGUAUCUUUGGUGUUUAACUAUGGAGCAAUCUUCAGCCACUGAACCUUUGGGCAAAAGGUUCCCAGCUGUGACAGUAUCAUUGUCAUUUUUUUAGAAAUAUCUAGGAUUACAUUAUCUUGUGUAUCUUCCCUUAUUUAAUUUGAUGAAAUUUGUCUGCUAUUUCUUAUUUCUUUACUGCCCACAAGGGGCUACACACAGAGGGGACGGACAAGGACAGACAAAUGGAUUAAGUCGAUUACAUCGACCCCAGUGUGUAACUGGUACUUAAUUUAUCGACUCCGCAAGGAUGAAAGGCAAAGUCGACCUCAGUGGAAUGUGAACUCAGAACGUAACGGCAGACGACAUACUGCUAAGUAUUUCGCCCGGCGUGCUAACGUUUCUGCCAGCUCACCACCUUAAAAAUUUGUCAGCUAUUUCUAGUAGGUCCAGAAACCACUUAGAGGCUCUUAAUUAAAAAUUGUAAGAAACUUCUGCUAAUUAAUAAUAGAUAUACACACUUACACACACACACAUGCGUGCGCACGCGAAAAUUGACCACAGUUUCUGCCAACCAAAUUUCACUCCCUGUGGGAGCAAAUCCAGGAUCUUGUAAGUGCUAAAGCCCCACGUGAUUACACUUAAUCAUUUAUCUUAAUUAUUUGAUAAAUUAAUUUAUAAAUCACUUUAUAUCAUUAUCUUCAUUGUAUGUCAUUAUUUAUGGUGCAAUUUUUCUUUCGAGUCAAAAUAUUUUUUUCUGUUUGAAUAAUUAUUGAUUGCUUUUAUUUCGGUGUAAUUAACACUUGUUAUUGUGAUCUCAUUAUAGACAAUGUCCUUGGAUUCAUCUUUACUUCAUCCUUUCUCUCAAUUUAUGUGGGAGAGGAAAAGGGAGUAUUCUUCAUUACAUUUCAUUUCUUUAUAAUUAUCUUAAACAUCUUUUUUCCAAAAUUGUUGCUUAGUGAGCGUCACACUGUCAUCAUUUAUCAAGAAUAUAGCAACUUAUUUCUUACUCUUCAUUCCUUUUAUGUUUAGAAAUGGAGCAGAAAUUGAGUAGUUUUAAGUCUCAUUUAAUCAUCACUCUUUAUUUCUUGUCCCUGCAUCAUUAGAUUCUGUUUCGUUUCAAACUCAUUUCCUCUCUCACACUUAUUCUUUUCUUUAUUCAUUACUUUUAACUUUUUACUUCCUUUCUUUCGUCGUUUGUAAUUGCUCCAAAUUAUUUUCCUUUCUUUCUCAUCUCUUGCACUCUUGGUACUCUGUCACAGCUUCUUCUUCAUCUCUUCUGCUGUCCUGCUUCUCUGUCUUUCAGUUUUGUUUUUCAGCAGAUACUUGUGUUCCCCAAGUAUGGUGAAAACAUCCUGUUGAGAAGGAUGAUCGCUCCUACAUAGAACGGAGAUGGUUCUAAGUUCACUAUAACCACCUUUCUACUUCUGGUUAUGUGACAAAACUACAGACAUAUCCCACGUUACAAAAGCAUUGUUUUACUGAAAAAUCUUGUUGUUCCAUAAAAUUCCAUAUCAUGAAACUUGUUUCAUAUUGACUGCCAUGGUGCACGGAAGCCAACGAAAUAAAAAAUAUAUUUUGCACAUCACAAACUUUCACAUAACUGCAAGACUUUCAGGAAUGCAAUCUUCUGUAAUGCAGCAGAUACCAUUUGCUUCUUGGAUUACAGAAAUGUAGCAUGCAACAACCAUUGUGCAGAUUGUAUAUUUACAUUAAAAAGAAAAGCCAUGCAUGCAUUCAUGAUGGCUUUGUCUUGUACCAGAAAUAUUUGCAUAAGUACAGGUUCCAUGAAGUGGAACUGAAUUAUGCUCUGCACAAAUUUAAUUCUCCAUGAAUAUGACUGUGAGGUAAAGGAGCUCAUUAUGCAAGCAUAAAGUUUGGGGUUCAAUCCCACUGUUUAGCAACUAGGCAAGCGUCUUCUAUAGCCCUAGGCCAAUCAAAGCCUUGUGAGUAAAUUUGAUAAACAGGAAUUGUGUGAAAGCUUGGCAUACACACACACACACACACACAUGUAUAUGUAUGUGUGUGUGCGUGAUUGUAUUUGUUGCCCACCAAUGCUUGACAACCAGUGUUGGUGUGUUUACAUUUCCAUAACUUAUCAAUUUGGCAAAAUAUAUAUAUCAAUAUAUAUAUAUAUAUAUAUAUAUAUAUAUAUAUAUAUAGCUGUGUGGGAAGAAGAUUGCCUUUCAAUCACACAUGUUUCUGUGUGGCACCUUGGGCAAGUGACUUCUACUAUAGCCUAGGGCUGACGAAAGCCUUGCGAGUGGAUUUGGUAGACGUAAACUGAAAGAAACCCAUCAUGUGUGUGUGUGUGUAUAUAUAUAUAUAUAUAGAUAGAUAGAUAGAUAGAUACACACACACAUAUAUAUAUAUGUAUAUAUAUAUAUAUAUAUAUAUAUAUAUAUAUAUAUACACUUUAUUUUAAGCAACAGAAAAUUCAACAAAAUCUGUUACUCUGAGUUUUUGUCUGAUGAACGGCAACAAGAAACUCAGAGUAACAGAUUUUGUUGAAUUUUCUGCUGCUUAAAAUAUAGCAUAUUACUCUACCACUGGUAAUUGAGUACUCUUUUUACCACCUUGUUUCACAUUUAUGUGUUUACUCCGGUAUAUAUAUAUAUAGAUAGAUAGAUAUAGAUAUAGAUAUGUAUAUAUAUAGAUAUAGAUAUAGAUAUAGAUAUGUAUAUAUAUAUGUGUGUGUGUAUAUAUAUAUAUACAUAUAUACAUGUAUAUAUAUACAUAUAUAUGUAUAUAUAUAUAUAUAUAUAUAUAUAUAUAUAUAUAUAUACAUAUAUACAUGUAUAUAUAUACAUAUAUAUGUAUAUAUAUGUAUAUAUAUGUAAAUGAUGAUGAUGGUGAUGAUGAUGUAUAUACAUAUACAUAUAUAUAUGUAUAAUAUAUGUAUAUGUAUAUAUAUAUAUAUAUAUAUAUAUAUAUAUACAUAUACAUAUAUUAUACAUAUACGCAUGUAUACGUAUGUAUAUGUAUAUAUGUGUAUAUAUAUAUGUGUAUAUAUAUAUAUAUGUAUGUAUAUAUAUAUGUAUAUAUAUGUAUGUAUAUGUACAUAUAUGUAUAUAUAUGUAUAUAUAUAUAUAUGUAUGUAUAUAUAUAUAUAUAUAUAUAUAUAUAUAUAUAUGCAUAUAUAUAUGUAUGUGUGUGUGUGUGUGUAUGUAUUUGUGUUUGUUUUUGACCCCAGCAUCACUUGUCAACCGGUGCUGGUGUCUUUAUGUCCCUAUAACUUAGCAGUUCAGGCAAAGAAACCGACAGAAUAAGUACUAAGCUUUCAAAGACUAAGUCCUUGGGUCGCUUUAUUCAACUAAAGGCAGUGCUCGAGCACUAUAAAUAAAUAGUUAUAAAUGUAUCUUGUACUUUGUAUUUGGUAGUAUUGUUACAAUUCUUUCUGUCUCUUAUUUUAUUGGAAAUAUUAAUGACUUUUAAUUAGUUUUCAGAGCUCUGAAACUUGAUUACUCAGCAAUUUUUUUAAACAUUCACAUUUGUGACCUUCCAAUACUUUUGCGUAUAUUGCUCUUAUAUUUAUACACAUCUAUUUUCAUAUGUAUAAAACCUAUAUGUUUGUGUCAGUUCAUUAUAGCUCAGUAUUUAGCAUUUCAUUUCUUAAUGUUUUCUCAUCCUGAUUGUGUGUCCUUAGGUUAUCUUUAGGUACCUUUAGCCAUGUGUUGUUGCUAUUGCUCAACUCUGAUUGGGUAGAUUAAUGAUCAAAAGUAUUCCGGUCGUGACCAUCCAAUCUUUUAUAGGUAUUAUCUAAUGGAUCCUUCUCUUUUUAAAGAACUGUGGCAAACAAUUUAAGGAAGAUUUGGCUGUUAUUUCUAGCAUCCAAAUGACAGUGUGGAGAAGCCUUCAUUGUUUUUUUCUUUUGUUUUUUGUUUGUUUGUAUUUCCUGCUGCUCUAUUGAUCUUAACAUUCCUAACAAAUGGGUAGUCAUCUCCUUAGUUGCUGUUUUUAUUCCCAGGUAUGUGUUUAUCAAGCAGAACCAUAAUCAAAGACAUUCCAACAGUGACCAUCCAAUCUUUCUUUCAUUUUAGACAUAAUGAAUAUAUUUAGGACUAAACUAGCCAAUUAGUUCUGCUACAAUGCUGAAGUGUGAUUUUGAGCAGCUCUAUAGAAGCUUCAUUGCUAGCUUGACCCCUCACCUGUGUAUGUAUGGGGGGAGGGUGGGCAGGGGUUUAUUAUUGAUCAGUGAAGAAGGAAAGACAAAUAUGUUGUUAGUGUGUGUGUGUGUGUGUGUGUGUGUGUGUGUGUGUGUCCUUGUCCUCACAAGCAUGGUGGUUGUAAACAAGUAUCACUAUCUUACGGGGUUCUUUAUUUCCAGUCUUCUAUGAAAGUGAGUCCAGCCAGGGGGGAAAAAAUCACCUUCCUUGGAAACGGACGAGGGAAACUGGUCAUAGAAAUGUUUUCUCCACAAAUUCUAUCUAGAAAAGUGGAUGUUGAAAUAACAAUGAAGAGAAAAGGAGGAGGAGGAUAACAACGACAAUGGUGACAGCAGUGGUGGUCAUCAUGAUGAUUAUAGUGGUGAUGAUGAUGAUGGGGAUCUUAAAGAAAGUUAAUUUUGGGGUCAAUUUUUAAAGCUAGAUACAGUUUGUGAAAAAAGAGCCAUGAUGGCCCUGUGUUUACUGUAUUAUUCAAAAAUAUAAGUUAAUGCCAUCGGACAUAUUUGCAUCAUGGCAGCAGUGAAAUUGUAAAAAGAUUGAAUUUAUGUAUAUGUGUUUUUAUAUAUAUAUAUAUAUAUAUAUAUAUAUAUAUAUAUAUAUAUAUAUAUAUAUAUAUAUAUAUAUAUAUAUAUAUAUGUAUGUAUGUAUAUAUUGUAUUGUUGGGUCUACAGAGAUUUAUUUCAUCAAUAUUAAUAACACACACACUGGUUUAAUUUGUUUCAACAUACAAAUUGACAUUAAGAAUCUUGCAAACCAAAUACAAAAAUGAAGCAUAUAUAUAUGUGUGUAUGUAUGUAUGUAUGUAUGUAUGUAUGUAUGUAUGUAUGUAUGUAUGUAUGUAUGUAUGUAUGUAUGUAUGUAUGUAUGUAUGUAUGUAUGUAUGUAUGUAUGUAUGUGUGUAUGUUGUGUAAAUUAAUUCUGUUUGUCCAUCUGAUAUAUGUAAGAAGAAAUUAUUAUUGUUUAUCUCCAGUAGUUUAUUCAUUAGUGAAAUUUCCUUUGUAUGAUUUCUUUUUCAGAAAAUUCUUGCAAAUUUGUAUUCGUUUUGAGAUUAAAUAUUGGAAUUUUUUUUUUUUUUUUUUUUAGGAAAUGCAUUUUCUUUUCAUUCUGAAUAAUCUGUGUGCAAUUAUUAUCUUUUAUAUAAAAUAGGUUGUAUAUAAUCAUUUUCUUUUCUAAAUAAUCUUAUGUGCAUAAUCUGGUUUAUCACUUCUUGUUUUUAUUGUCACAAAUAAGCCAAAAUUUGCAAGAUCUCAGCUUUGAAACUCACUAAAAAAUGUAAUAUUUAGAAAAUAAGUAGCACAACAAUCUGCACAAAUAUGGUGAGCCUUAAAUUUAGAUUGAUUCCUUUAUCAUAUCCUAUUGGUAUUUAAGGUCUUCCAUUUGAAGCUGUCACACUUAAGCUUGAACAGAAUUCUGUGAAGUUCAAUUGUUUGUUGCAAGCCAUCAUUAAUUACGGCAAAACCGAUGACUAUAGACUCUGUAAGUAUAGAACAACUGAUCCAGCACACCGAAAGAAGAGCAAAACUCAUAGCAUCCUUAUUCAAUGGAGAGGGAAAGUAGCAGUCAGAUAGCUUUCACUUAGAACUAGAAUAACAAUCAGUUGAAUUUCAGAUGACAAUCACUGUUAGGUUAUGACAGUAAUUAAUGAAAUUUGUAAGUAGAUAAAUAAAUCUUUAUUUGAGAUUAACUGUUCUCAAAGCACCUCACAAACAGCUGUGAAGAAUAUUAUGUAAAUGUCAGGUUUUCAACCCCACAUUUCCAUUCUAUUUUUUAUAACUGAAUAUGAUGUGCUUCAAGAAUCAUUAUUCUAAAAAUGAAUUACUUCACAUGUUCUCAAAACUUUAUAAAAUUCCUUUGAUAUCAAAACAAAUAAAUAAACAUACUCCUGCCCUCAAACUCUCUGAACCCUCUUGAUUAUUCCUUUCGGUGGGACUUGACUCUUCACCAAAGUUCAACUCAGAAAGAUUGUAUUUAAGAUUCUAUCACAAAUGAUAAUUAGUUGUUUUAGCACCAAACAAUGUUUUCAUAAAAUAUUAAUAUUAAUAAACACAUCUUUUAAAUAAAAUAUUGCUUAACAGUAUAAUAUAUAAUUUUUUAACAAUUCAUAGUCUAUGGUCAGUCAUGUAGCUUUUGUUUCUCAUGCUGUUUAGUAAUCAGGCUAGUCCUGAAUGAAUUGUUCCAGCCAUGGCUACCCUUUCAGAAGUUAUAGUGUUUUUAGAACUACAUUAUUAAUAGAGUCUUUCAUUUUGUUUUUUAAGAUUAUAGUGUGUGAUAUUAAGAAUAUUUGGCUGCUAAUACUGGUAGGUCAAGUUACCAUAAAGAGAUAAGAGGAAGAAGCUUCCUUUUAGCUCCUAAUUCAUAUAGUAAAAUUAUAUUGGUAAUCUUUCAAAAUAAAUUGAAAUUUAUACCAUCCAGUAACCUCUUGUAUAAAACUAAUAUUAGAUGUAAACUAUUUAGAUUAUGUUUCCUUCACACAGGUUAUUACUUUUUUAACUGAUUAAUUCAUUACAAAGCUUUAGUUGAGAUAUGCAAGGUCUGAUCAAAAAGUCCUGGGACUGAUGUCAUGGUAACAGAGCUAAAGUGCUCAAAGUGAAGCCACUUGGCAUAGUUUCACCCUUGAACUCUGUCACACAUGGCCACUAAGUUAUAACAUUCUUGCUCACUUCCAUUGUUUAUAGCAGUGCUUAGAAGUAAAGUGUGUGGUGUGUGGUUGACUCACCGAGAAAACUGAGCAGAGAAUCUGCAUCAAAUUUUGCCAAAAGGUUGGUGACACCUUCACAGAGAUCUAAGCAAAGUGGCAGAAAGUGUAUGGAGAAGAGUGCAUGAGUCGGACACGGGAGUAUGUGUGGCUCAAAUGUUUCCAAGAUGGCUGCCAUAAUAUUGACAGUGACACAUGUUUUGAGAGACCCACAACCAGCAAAACUAAUGAAAACAUCACAGGUGUGUGUGCAGCUGUUCAGAAGAAUCAUGGAAUCAUCGUGUGAGAGUUGUUGGAGGAUGUGAACACGAGUUACAGUUCAGUUCAGCAAAUUCUCAUUGAAGAUUGGUGUAUGAGACAUGUGUCUAUCAAGUUUGUAUCAGAGCUACUUUCAGUUGCAGUAGUUUUGGGCCAAACACAACGACCCCUUGAUCUGACAAACACCAUAUUCCCCAGAUCUCACUUCUUGAAAGGAACAAGAUUUCAAGGCAUCAAGGAAAUCAAAGAGAACAUGAUGAGGCAGCUGCCCAUGAUGCCAAAAAUGAAGUUCCAGGAAUGCUUCCAGCAGUGGAAAUGACACUGGAGAAGGUGUGUGGUAUCAGAAGGGAACUACUUCAAAGGAGAUGAAAUGCUAAAUUGUUAUGUGUUGUGGUUUUCUUUUUAUACACCAGUCAUGAUACUUUUUAAUCAGACCUCAUAUUUGGAGGUUAUUUCCCUUUUCAAAAACUACAAAGCCUGGCAUAUCUUAAAAUCACUCUUUUGAUACGGUUUGAAUUAAAAGUUAUGAGUUGUGUAAUUAGAUUAUGCCUACCGGAUCAGCUCAACAUCUAAUUACAGACACAGACAACAUCAUCAUCAUCAUUUAAUGUCCGCUUUCCAUGCUAGCAUGGGUUGGACAAUUUGACUGAGGUCUGGCGAACCAGACUCCAAUCUGAUCUGGCAGAGUUUCUACAGCUGGAUGCCCUUCCUAACGCCAACCACUCCGAGAGUGUAGUGGGUGCUUUUACAUAUCACAAGCACAAGGGCCAGUUUGGUGGUACUGGCAACGGCCAUGCCCAAAUGGUGCUUUUUAUGUGCCACCUGCACAGGAGCCAGUCCAGUGGCACUGGCGAUGACCUCGCUCGAAUGUUUCAUGUGCCACCAGCACAAGUGCUUGUAAAAUGACGCGGUAACAACCACGCUUGAAUGGUGUGUUUAACGUGCCAUUGGCAUGAAAGCCAGCUGGUUGCUCUGGCAACGAUCUCACUCAUAUGGUACUCUUUGUGCUCCACUAGCAACUGAUGCCAGUCACCAAGUUAUGAAAAUUCCAAUAAAGUCAUCUGAGAUUGAUUGAAUUAUACCCUAAGCAGGAAUAGGGUCAAUGUAAUCCAUCGACAACUUUAAAAGCACCUCCUAGCUCUUGAGUACUUGAAGAAGUUCACAUUGUCACAAGCAAACCAGGCCUCCAGUAUGACCAUCAAUAACAAAUGCUUUGUAGUUUCUCACACCCAAUUAGUGUCAGAAGCCAUACUCUGACCUCAUCUGACUAAUCCAUAAUAAUAAUAAUAAUAAUAAUAAUAAUGAUUAUUUCUGCUAUAGGUACAAGGCCUGAAAUUUGUUGGGAGGGAACUAGUCAAUUACAUCGGUUCCAGGGCUCAACUGUUAAAGUUGGCCUGAGUGGAAUUUGAACUCACAAUGUAAAGUUGGUUGAAAUGCAGCUAGCAAUUCUUCCAGUUCACCACCUUAAUAAUAAUAAUAAUAAUAAUAAUAAUAAUAAUAAUAAUAAUAAUAAUAAUGAUAAUAAUAAUGAUGAUAAUAAUAAUAAUAAUAAUGAUGAUAAUAAUAAUAAUAAUAAUAAUGAUAAUAAUAAUAAUGAAAAUAAUAAUAAUAAUAGUGAUAAUAAUACUAAUGAUAAUAAUAAUGAUAAUGAUGAUGAUGAUGAUAAUGAUAAUAAUAAUAAUGGUUUCCAUUUCUGGCACAAGGCCAGCAAUUUUGAGGAGAGAUAAGUCUCGAUUACAUUGACCCCAACGCUCAACUGGUACUUAUUUUAUCAAUCCUGAAAAUUUUAACAGUAAAGUCAACCUCAGUAGAAUUUGAACUCAGAACAUAAAAAUGGAUGCAAUAUUACUAAGCAUUUUACCCAGUUCAGUAACAAUUCAGCCAGCUCACUGCCUUGUUAGCUAAUUUAGUUCACAUGGCAUGGGUUUGAACCAACAACCUAAGGAUAAGGAUUACUAUGUGCUACCAAUUGAGCCACCAUGAGAACACAAUAAUAAUAAUAAUAAUAAUAAUAAUAAUAAUAAUCAUCAUCAUCAUCAUUACUUUUGAAGACAGCCUAGGAUUUUAAAAUCUAUUUAUUAUCUAAUGUACUUAUUGCCGAGGAAAAUCAUUGAAAAUAGCAGUGGUGAUGGGUGAGAUUUCAAAAUAUUUUGCUCACAAAAGGAAACUGAAUAGCAGUUUGCUAAAUUAUAACCUUGUCUCAUUCAUAGCAGCAUGAAAAAGUCUAGAAUGAUAAAGAUUAUAAUAAACCAUUGUGAUUUAUGUAAAUAGAUCUCCAUUAAUGUUUCACAAUCAUGUUAUACAAACAAAAUAUGAAAGAAACUAAUUAGGAAUUUUACAUCAAUUAAUUUAAUCACUCAGAUACCUUUUUAGAUUAUUUUCUGCAAAAAUGAGUUGGGGAUGCAUUAAAAUUUUAAGGCAAUAUUUUUUGCAAAAGUAAUAGUCUGUGUGUGUGUGUGUGAGUGUGUGUGUGUGUGUGUGUGUGUGUGUGUGUGUGUGUGAGUGUGUGUGUUUCUAUUUUUAACAACUAAAGUGUAGAACUAUAAAAACUUUACAAAAUCUAAAUUUCCAAAUAAAUUAUCUCUGAUAUGGUUUUGUUCUUCUUCUCUAGUUAGAUUCCAAAUGGCAUUUCUUCCUGCGUUUUUCCACAAUGCUUUCUUCUGAAUAGUAGCAUUACUGCACCACUUGUUUAAAUGAUUGUGUGUGUGCAUGUGCAUACACGAGUGUGUAUGUGUGUAUGUGUGUAUGUGUGUAUGUGUAGAUGGAGGAAUAAAUGUAGAUACCUAUAUGUAAAAUAAGGGGGAAUAUUAUUGUUUUUUAGUCCCAAGUCAACUCUGACUGAGCAAACCUGUAACGAAAGGGUUAAGCCAUAAUCAUCCGGUCAUUAUGGGGGUGUCUAAGACUACACCACAUAAUCUGCCCUUCUCCUUUUUAAACAGUGGAUUAUGAUCUGGUGGAGAUCUGCAUGUUUUCUCCAGUAUGACCAUGUAGAGGCUCACCCUUCAUAAAGAGGCAUUGAUAAAGAAGCUGCUGAAUUUCAAAAGUUAGCAUUUACCAUUUUAAGUUUCAUAGCUUAGCAAGAAAUUUCAGAAAUCCACUGAUAUUACAAUUCUCUUCCACAAGGUUGCCACAGAGCUUUGAACCCUUUAUCACAAACUGUUAUUUAACCCAUUUCAACUCUAAUCAAUUAUUCUAACAGUGACCAGCCUGUGUGGGGUUUUUUAUUGUGACACUUUGUCUAGCACCACAGUUAUCCCCUUGUGCUUUAUUCUUAACCCUUUCACUGGGAAAUUCAACUUUAUGGUUAUUCUAGUAAUGAUGUUAAAUAUCUACCAAAAAUAGAAUUGGUAUUUUCUGCAAGUCAUAUUGCCUCACUAAAUUUGAGACAUUUCAACAGACAAAAAAAUUCAAACAUGACAUUCUUUAACUAAAAAUACAUUGGUAAAUGAAACUGCUUCCACUGUUAAGUGUAGUGAAAUUUUAAGUGGAUAUAUCUAAUUUCUGCAGUCAGAGUUAAGACAGAGGGAGAUUUGGCUGCUAUUUUAAAUAACAGAGUAGCAGCCAAGUAGAUGCUCUUUCUUUGGCUCAUAUGUGUUGUUAUUGUUGUUUAACCCUAAUGAAAAGCCAAAUGAUGAAAACCAUUCUAUGAUCCCUCGAAGAACUAUAUUUUCUUAAGGUGGCAGUGUAUAGUUUCGUAAAGAAUCUGAUGCUAUUUUUAUAGACUGAAUCACCAGGUAAAACAACCUGUUUUACAAAUUAAUUAAACUUUACCCAAUUAACCAAUCAUCUGUAUAUCUUAUUUUUAAAAAACUACAUCUACUAAACAUUCUUAUAUUACACCAAACAGAAUACAGGUUAUAGAUUGUGUGGCAUUUUUUCUUCUUUUCUUUCCCAUGCACACUCUCACCAAAAUUCUGAACUUGUUUAACAGCUUUUACUACCAGAAACCCUCUUUAGAUAGUCUACCUCUUCUAGCAUUUCUGAUUAGAUGACAUUCUGGAUGAAAAUUGAGAUGAUAUUUUAUCAUUUAUUUUUUUUCCGGUUUUCUCCUUCUGAUAUUUUUAGCCUUUGUCUCUAGAAUAGAUACACAUCUGUUGUUCUUAUAUUGCUAUCACUAAUGUGUCUUUAUUGCUUUUGUGAAAUAACUCUCACUGUUUUAUUCAACGUGAGCCCCCACCACUGUUUCUUGUUUCUUAUUUUCUUUUGUAUCUUACCCGUCACAACUUCUGCAGUUGGUGACAUUUACUAAUCCCCACCCCUCAAAAUUAAUGGCCUUGUGCCUAAAUCAGAAACCAUUAUUAUUAUUAUUAUUAUUAUUAUUAUUAUUAUUAUUAUUAUUAUUAGUAUUGUUAUUGUUAUUACUGUAAUUAUUAUUAUUAUUAUUAUUAUUAUCAUUGCUGUUGUUGUGACCUUGUGCUUACACAAAAGUCAUUAAUGUUACAUUGUUGCUUAACCCCAGGUCAACUGUAAUCAAGCUGGCUUAUAAUCAAAGACAUCUCAACCAUGACCAUCCUUUCUUUUCUAUAUAUCAAGGACUACAAUGUCAAAUACUAUCCUUCCUUUUAAUUUAUAUAUCUUUUUCUUAAAUAUGGCAGAGUGUAAUCUGAGGGCAUAUUCGGUUGCUAUUUCCAGCAGAUUGAGCAACUGCAUCGGGGGUUCCUCUUGUUGGCUCAUGUGGGUUAAGUAAGAGAUCAGUUCCAAAUGGAAUCUUGGACAUUGAAGUCUCCAACAUAAGAUUAGCUCACAAUGGAAGAGAAUGGAUGGUAUUGCAGUUGGUGGGGUCAUGAAAUAGUUAGGUAUUCAUGUGAGAAAAUGAAAGAGAAUUAGAAAGUGUUGUUAUUGUUGUUUAUUGUUGCUACUAUUGCUAUUGUUGCUUAGCCCCAGAUCAAUCCUGACUGAGCAAGCUUUGUUCAAAAGUGUUCCAGCCCUGAACAUCCUAUCUUUUUUCAAAGAUGAUAGGGUACAUUUUGAAGGGAAAUCAAUUGCUAUUUGUGUCAGGUCAAAUUAACCCUUGAUGUUCAAGAAGUUUGAAUGCAAGAAUUGUAUCAGAACCCAACCCAUGCCAGCAUGGAAAGGGGAUGCUAAAUGAUGAUGAUGAUGAUGAUAUAUAUACAUACAUACAGGGUGCAGUGAAUAAAUUAUUGUCUGAAUUACACAAAAAUGAAGAUAACACUGACAUCUAAUUUUAACAGAUAUAUUUACCAAAAUUACAUUAAAAUAUCUUGAAAUACUAAACAGUAAAUUUAUUCAAUAAAAUCGCCAUUGGCUUCAAACAUGGCCUUCAGACGACUUUGGAAUCUCUUGAAACUCUUCUGGAAGGUCUCCUUGUUUAAGUUGGUCAAUGCUGUCAUAAUCCUUGCCUUCAGUUCAUCUUUGAUGUUGCAAGGAGUUGUGUUGGUGCCCCACAUAUAAUAAUCAAGGGGGUUGCAGUUUGGGGAGUUAGGUGACCAGAUGUUAGGGGUGACGUGGUCGCAGAAAUUUUCUGACAGCCAUGACUGGGUUCUCCUGGUUGUGUGGCAUGGUGCAGAGUCCUGUUGCCAGAUAUAGUGUCAUCCAGCAACCACCCUCUUGACCUAGGGCAGCAUUGCUACCUCCAGGCACUUGAUGUAUGCCUCUGUAUUGAGUUUGAGGCAGUGUGGGAAGAUGAAUAGAUGCAUAACGUCACAAUCCCUAGCGAUCACCCCAAACAGCAUCACUAUCUUCCCAAAUCCUGCUGCCUUUCACAUGAAAUUUGUUGUCUUCCAAAGUUGUCUUGGUGUAUAAGUUGACCUAUCUUUCUUCGCUGUAAAUUUAGGUCUGAAAAAUUCGACUUUGCCAAAGUUGAGUUGACAGAUCUUUGUAUAAAAAGCUUGUGUUUAUACAUUACUAGAGUGGUUUAGUGAUGGAAUCGGCAAAAAUAAAUUCAUUGCUACACAUUGCAGUAUUUUCUGUAAGAAACAAAGCCAUUUAGAAUAUUUGUUUUUUGCAAUGUUGAUGUUUAGUUUUUACUGUUUCUUGUAUUAUUAGCACCACAAUAUUGGCAAAAACUAUUUCUGCAUCCAUUAGCACCACACUUAUUUAUUCUCAAGCUUCACUUUAUCCAAAGUUACCUUUGAAUGCUAAAAUAAUAGUCUUUCCCGGUGGGGUUGGUGAUUCCUACAGGAAUAGUAAAGCAACAUGGCUGUUGCCACAUAAUAGAUUGUUUAGUUUAGUUCAAAAUAACACAGAUUUUUCUCAUCACAAUCAAAUAUUGCAGUUUCAUCAUUAUUUUCCAGAUCCCAUACAGUGUCUUUGAGCUUUUUUAUUAAAUACAUUUUUAAUGUUGCAUUUAUAUCUCUGUUAAUUAUCUUAACAACAGAUUAAGUCACAGAUUUCGUCAUCAACUUUUAUUGCUAAGAGUGAUGAAGCUCUAAUCCACUUAUUUGAGCUCAAUUUCCAGGGCCCCUGGAAGAGAUCCUUAUAUAUAGCCAAGGGAACUAACCCAUUCAUUUUCCUAAAUUAUUUGGUAAAAAUGAAAUUGUAUGCUUAUUUCUUAGUAUUUGAACUGUUAGAGUUAUUUUUGCAAUUUAUCUAGUACAACCCUUAAACAAAUAAAUAGUAUUUUCCUAAACAAUAGAUCCACUUAUUUUGAUUAGUGACUUAUUCACGAAUAUACCAACACUAGCGCCCCUGAGGGUAAUAUUCUCUGGUAACACACAAAAGCCCUUUUCAGAGUUAUUUACUUUGAAUUGUUAUUAUCUCAUACCUGAUUGGCCUGUUAUUACAUAACAUGCUUCACAAUUUUAGUAUACAUACCUUACUAGUAUUUCCUCCUAUGUUCUAUAUACCCUGGAAAUGCAUUAAAGCCUUUUUCAGCGCUACUUUUGGAAUUCUUACUAUUGGGUAACUAAUUUCAAUGUUAUUACAUAACUGACUUCACAAUUUGGGCAUUCAUAACUUAUUGGGAAUUCCUAAAAACAAGAUCCUGUGUAAGACAGUUCAGCAUUCUCUGUAAAUGCACAGAAACUGUUUUAAGGGCUACAUACUUUGUAUUGUUGUUAUUGGAUUGGUAAAACAAUUAUGAAAACGAAACCAAGGGAUAAGCCCCGCUUUCCUCGGAAUUACCGGGUAUGUCAGCUAGUGUAUAUAUGUGUAUAUAUAUAUAUAUAUAUAUAUAUAUAUAUAUACGUGUGUGUGUGUAGUGAAAUGAUAGUCAUGGCACCCAUUAUAUGCUUGGAGUGGUUGGUGUUAUGAAGGGUAUCCAGCCAUAGAAACCAACCCAUACCAGACUGGAGCCUCCUUCCAUAUUCCUGCUUACCAGUUCUAGUCAAACUGUCUAACCAAUGCCAGCAUGGAAAACAGACACUAAAUGAUGAUGAUAUAUGAUGAGCUUCUUUCAGUUUCCUUCAACCAAACCUACUCAGUAGGCAUUGGUAGGUCCAGGGCUAUAGAAGUAAAUUUCAUUGAGGAGAAGAAAGGUUCUCAGCUAUGCCUGUACCUAUCUACAUUAAUAUAUACAGUGUGUGUGUGUGUGUGUAUGUACAUGUAUGCGUAUAUCUGUGUAUAUAUGUGCAUAAGACCUAUCCUUUUUGUACUCCCUAUCCCUUUGUGGGGGUAUUUUCUGGCUAAAUCUGGUCAGCAAGUGGUUGAUUAAUUACGGUUACUUUAUUUUGGUUUAUUUUAUUUAUUUUCAUUUCCUUUACCUCAAGUUAAAAUGUUCUCAUAUGUAUUUCUGAAAUCUAAAUGGACAUGCUACGAAUGAGAAAUGUUUCUCUUUUCUCUAUCAUGUCAAUGGUAUAAAUUGAGUUGACCCAACUUUCUUCGACAAAGUUAAAUGUUUAAUACCCAAAGAUGUUCUGAAGAAUAAUCCUGCGCAUUAUCUAACCACACAUGUGUACAUCUACAUGUAUACUUAUCUAACCACACAUGUGUACAUCUACAUGUAUACUUCUGUGUGUGUAAGGCACUUUAGCAUUGACAAUGUAAUUAAAUAGGGAUGACGAAACAGUUGUAAACAUAUGGAAUAAAUAGAUUCUGCCUCUCAAUUCACUUGAAUUUGAUCAAUUAUAUAUGUAUCUAUGCAUAUAAUUAUAUAGGUGUGUUCUCUUCUGUUUUUAAUUAUUUAAAGUCUUUCUCUGAGGAAAGAGCUGGUUUCUAACAAAGAUACAAAGCUCCAUCGUUAGAAUGUAAAUAACAAAAACAAUGUCACAUUUUAAACUUAAGAAAAAUCUUGCACAUUUUUACUGUUCCACUUACAGACUGUAUUUGUAAUAUGUGAGUGAGUUGGUUGUUUCCUUCUUCUGAAAACCCAAACUUAUCCAGACUUUCAGUUAGGCAUUUACUUACAUAACCAAGUGCACCAAUUAUUAUCAUUGCAAAUGUAAAUUUGUAAUCUGGAUAUAAAAGCUGGACGUUUCGAAGCAGUCCUCCAUAGUUAUCCUCUUUCUCUUUUAUUUUCAAAGAGAUUUUCAUAUCAACAUCACAGCCUCUGAUGGCAUAUAUUUGUCCUUGUCUAUCCCCAAACAACAAUAUCCAGCCUGUUAUGCUUACAGAUGUUUUGAUGGGAAUGUUCCACCAGUUUUCUUUCUGUUGAUGUUUGUGUACAUGUUCAAUAAUAAGGGGGUUCUCUACAUUUAUUCCAGGACAGUCUUUUUUCUGGAAUUCAUGGUAUAUUGUUUAUGUGUUAGGGUCAUAUCGCAUAGGGUGGUAAUACCUUGAUGGCAUUCUUGUGCAGUUGUUAAUCACAUGUGUAAUGUCUUCCACUGAAAAAUGACAUAAUCUGCAUGUAUUAAUUAUUCCAGAGGGUGACAAGUUCAAAAUGAAAUUAUGUCCUGUCGCUUAGAGCAAAGUACACAUAGAUAAGUCUGAGAGAGAGUAAAAUAUUUAAUCCAUAAUCAUUAGUCCAACAAAAUAUACUUUGCUUCAUCAAUGGGUCGUGUAUGUGUGUGUGCAUGUGUGUAUACACAUACAACAUGUCUGUAUAUAUGUAUUAUGAUUUUCCUAAAUGUCUUAAGCCCUUAUGAAGUUGCAGGAUUCUAGUUCCAGAAGCACAUCCAGAAUGUAAAAUGUGUAAAGUUUAACCCUUUAGCAUUUAAACUGACCACAUCCGGCCCAAAAUAUUCAAUUUGUUUUAUGUUCAGAUUGACCGGAUCUGGCUGCUUGCACCUGCCUAACAAUCUCAUUGUAAAAAUAAACAACCACAUCAUUGAAAUCUUGAAGCCAUAAGAUAAUGCAUGAUUGAUUCAAAUCAAUGUGAAUAAAUAAGCAAGACAUUUGACAGAAUAAUGGGACUACGAAACGAUUAAAGGAGUUCAAAAAAUGUUAAUUAUUCUUACUGCUUGUCAACCAAUUUCUGAAUAAGCCAAAUAUAAUUCUCCAACCAAUAUCUGACUUGUUUGCUUUUUGUAUUUCCACUUUCAUUGUUUUACUUCUUAGUUUACACUUUGCUGGUUGUAAGAAGUUAAAGUGUUAUAGGGUGAU